AAAUGGUUAGAAAGGAAUAGCAAGGGUGAGCAACAACGCUCAGCAAGUAGUAAUAAACAAUGAAAAUUCUGAAAUGAUAUAACAAAAGUUCACGAGUUCAAGAUAUAAAAGGAUUCAACCUGAGUUCACGAGUUUAGGUAUUGUAUAAGAAAAUCACAAUACCUUGCAGCAAUUGAAUACUGAGGAAUUCAAUCUUUCCAAAAGAAUUAUUGAAUUGGACUAUCACAUUUUAAUUAAAACCAAGGUUAGGCAGCUGAUCAGUUCCGCACUAACCCCGAGCAGGCCCCGCCAUGCUCUAUCACUGGAUCCAAGGCACUCAUUGGCCUAACAUGACCACGAAUCUGGUCCACAGGUUUAUAUAAAAACAAUAAUCCAAUUCUCUAAUUCAAUUCAAGAAGCCAAUGUAAAUUAACAGAACAUCAUCAUAAAUAUCAUCAACAACAGAAUAAUUCCAAUUCAAACUUUGAUAAUAAUCUAUUCAUAAAUCAUGAUCCAUCAUUUCAUAAAUCACAGUUCAGGAAAUCCUCAACUAUUCAGUAUCCUCCAUUAUCGGCUAAGCAACUGAAUUUAGCCUGCUAAACCAGCAUGACAAUGGCGGGUUGAAUAAUCAAGAAGAUCCCAAUUCAUUCAAAGCUCUAACUAUCACUGAGCAACACAUGCUUCAAUGACAAUCUGAACUUCGAAUUAAUUUGUAAAACUGUAAUUAUCUGUAUUUUUUGAGGAUUAGAAAAGGAUGGAUAAAAUAUUUACAGUUUCAAAUAUGGAAAAGAGAAGAACGAAUAUUUGCAACACAUACGAAAAGAAUGGAUCAGAAUAAUCGCAAGAUAUCCAAAAGAAGGGUAUAGGAUACUUGCCUUAAAUCUGACUCCAGUUUCACAGCUCAAUCUCAUCUUUCAACUUUCACAAUCUAUGCAUCUCGUAAUCUCUAGACCAUCUCUAGCUAUACUCUAUUCGCCACAUCGCUUCGCUUACUCGAUUCAUCCCUUAUUCGCUUUGCAAUACCAUUCCGACUUUCUGACGUCUUCGAGCGUACACGUCUCGUCCAAAUCCUUUACGAGAAUAAGAUAAUACUAUAGUCACUAAACAAUAUAUCGCAUAUACAUAUCACGUAUAUCGAUACCCACUUAUAUAUCCCUUUAAACUUAUCAGAUACCACGUAACACAUAAGCAUGCUUUGACUCUAACAUAUAGUCAAUCAUAUUCCACAUAACAUAUCACCAAUCAAUUAUCAUAUAAAUCCUUAUCGAAAAUCCGACAUCGUCUCGUCUAUGUAUAAGACUAUCCACCUGUUAUCCUAUCUCAAUCAUUAAUCAACCAACAAAAUCCAAUAACUAUAAUCCAUAUAUUCUUAUCCAAUAUCAAUCAUACGAAUCAUUUAUCACUUCACAAUAUCAAAACUAACACGUACUUCACAUAAUCAUCACUUGAUAGCACUUAGAUCACAUAUUAUCACAUUAUGCAUACUUAUCAACAAUUAUUCACCUUAUAGACUCAGCCAUAUAGUCACAUCAUAUUAAAAUAGACGUUAUAAGCUUCUGUCUCUCUUUCGUUUCACUUGAUUCCGACUUACGGAUCAAAAGUUAUGCUCAAAACAGUUUUCUCACUCUCCUAUCGGCACAUAACACAUCCAACCAAUAGCAGACAACACACAACACAUAAGGUUUCCCAUCCCAAUUGAUAUUAAAUCAAGUCUUGGGUUAAAAAUGAUUUUUCGGGAAUUUUCUGGAAUUUUUAAACAUUUUUCGGAAUUAAAAUCGAUAAAAGAAUCACUUUUCGAAUAAAUAAUCAAGUCCCAAAUACUUGAAAUUGGACUUGAAAUCAUUCAUAAACAAUUAUCGAGCCUUGAAAAUAAUUUGGAAAAUAUUUUAAAGCUCGAAACUAUUUUUCGGAAUUUUUAAAUCAAAAAGGAUUAAUUAAAUCCAAUUAAUUAAUCAAUUAAAAUCAAUUAAUAAUUAAUUAAAAUAAUUAAUCAAUUAAUAUUUAAAUUAAUUGACCAAUUAAAAUAAUUAAUUACUAAUUAAAAUUAAUUAAUAAAUCAAAUUAGAUUUAUUUUUAAAUAAAGAAAUAAGUAAAAACUAUUUUUGAAAAUCAAAAUAAUUAAAUAAAACAAUUUUUGAAAAUUAAAUCAAAAGGUUCAUUUUGUAAACUUUUGAAAGUUUUGUCCAGGGUUUAAAGUGUAACUUUCAGAAGUUUCAGGGGCUGAAACGCAAACUUUGAAACCACAGUACCUCAGCUUCAUCAUUCUCAAAAGCUGAGGUACCUAACUGUAAUUUGGCCGGCGGCCGCCACUCGCUCGCCGGCGACCGUGAUUCAGACCACCCCCAGACACCAAAAUGUGCAGAUUAGUAGUAUGCCUUGCCAGGAAUCGAUCUAUACCAUCAGAAUUAGCAAAGGAUGCGUAAUUUGUCCGGAAAAUCUCGGAGAAAUCUCGCCGCCGGCGAGUCUUCUCCAGAUUCCGGCGUUUGAUUCCGACCUCCUUUGCUAGUUUUGAAGACACCUACAAGCUCCCCUCAGCAAUAUCUAUCUACUUAUAACAUCAAAAACUGCCCAGAAUCAUCCAAUCAAAAAAUCCGGUGAAAAUAUUCAAGAACACCUCAAGAACACAACCAAAUAAUCAAACGGAUUUUUCUAUAUGUUUCCGAACUCGAAAUUCAACAUAUAAUAUACCAAAACGACGAGAAAAACACGUUCUACAACAUGGAAUCAUCCAAACAAUCAAACAAACACGUUUACAAAAAUCCACUAUUUAAAUCAUAAUAAUUCGAAUUUUAAAACUUCAAUUACUCCCUACCUGUGAAUCUCAUGUUGUUUUUGAUGAUUGAUUUGGGUUCUACUCUUCAAUAUCUUCGAUUUGACUAUUUGCACGCUUGAUUCUGACUCCAAUAACACCUUCAAAUCUUCGUUUGAUUAUGAAGAACACGAAGAACACCGCUCGGUUUCUCUCGGUAUUCGUGCAGAGAAACUGGUGAAAUGAUUUUACGGGUGAAAAUCAGCUCUAGAAAGGUAUAUUUAUAUUUACAAAUAAUUGGUACCCCUUUGGAUCGUUUAUGGCAUGAAAAUACGUAUUUAAUAGCUUUAUAUUAAGAAAGUGGGGUCCAAUCGGUACUAGUUUUCAAGAUAAUCAUCAAAACGGGGCUUUUUAACUCAAUUAUUGGUCUGCGGGUCCCACUGCAAUUAUUACAAGAUAAAGAUGAAUAAAAUAUCUCGUUUCACGUUUAUCGAGACAAACUGGAUAAUUAUCAACAAUUAAAAUACCCGAAAAACUCCGCCGGACCGACUCCGGGGAAAACCGUACUCCGGAUCGAAAAAAUCAAAACACGAAAAAUGUCCGGAAUAUUCAAAUUAGGCUAAAGGUAAGUUUUCUCGAAAUUUCCGGGAAGAAAAUUUUGCUAUACCGUUACGAGUGGACGGUUUUACGAAAAUCAGAUAAUUAAUAAAUAAAUACAAAUAUACGCAAUUAAAUCUGUAAAUCGAUUAUAAAAUACAUCUAACAUUCCAUAAAUACGAUACAAAAUAUCCAAAUAAACUACAUUUUAUUCCUGAUCACAAGAGUGACUGGGAGAUCAAUACGAUCAAAUGAACUUAAUGUUGCGUGUCCAUAUUAGACACUACUAAAGGUUGUUAACCUUCUUGUAAUCACAACACACACAAGUUGAUGGCGUCCCAUCCAACUCCUAUCACACAGACAGGUAUACCUUGUGUCCCCUAUUAAUAGGGUUGUUCAUCCCAAUCAAAUUGAAGAAAUGUCAAGGAAUAUCAACGAAUGUCAAGGAAUAUCAAAAAUAUCAAAGAACAUCAAGGGAUAUCAAAGAAGAUGAAAGGGUAUCAAGGAAUGUCAAGAAAUGUCAAACAAUAUCAAGGAACAUCACUGUCUCUUCACAACAAUCCUUUAUCACACAUCUUUGUUUUCCAACUCACAUCAAUCAUCAAUAUCAAUGUCAUCUUAGAAUUUGAGAAAUUGAAGAUCUCAUUUAUCAAAACUUUUGUAGAAAAGAUAUCAUGAUAAUAUCUCACUGAUGAGAAAACAAUCAAAAGAAUCUUUAUUUGAAAAGAGGUAUUGCCAAGGUCUUCUCAGAUUCCGACUCUACUUCAAUAAAUCAUUGUACGAUAUAUGUCUUCUUUUCAACGUUCUUGAUGAUCAAUCGAUUUGACUCGUAUUAGCCUCGUAAGAUGUCAUCGUAGACGUUAUCGUCCGUAAUAACUCUGGUCCAUGUAGUUUACAUUCUUCAACUUUAUCCCAGUUGCCUUUGAAAUCCAUAGCACAAACACGUAACGUAUCUUUGAUUGUCUGGAUCAUCAACCUGUGGGUUAUGGGCCCACCUUGAUGCCAUUUGAAAUCCCGAUUAGCUCGAAGCGUUGUCGUCGAGGACUAACGUUCUAACUUACUCGUAGACAUCAUCUCUAAUAACUGGACUCAAUUCCACGUAUUCUCUAUCAUUCACUUCUCACCUAUCAACCUCUAUCUACCAAUCUCUCCUUCUAAUCCAAUACAACUCAUACUCUACACUUACUCUUCAUAUCUCACAAAAACAAUAUACCUUUUUCCAAAUACCUAACAUGGUCAACAUACUAUGAACCAUGCAUCUUUAUCAUUCUCAAAUCAAUACAAUAGACCAUUUUCAACUAUGCAGUAUAGUCAGAAUACUUUGAACUCUGCAUUUCACCAUUCUCAACUCAAUCAUUCACUAUCGAAUUCUUCCAUAUAGGUCUAAUACUNNNNNNNNNNNNNNNNNNNNNNNNNNNNNNNNNNNNNNNNNNNNNNNNNNNNNNNNNNNNNNNNNNNNNNNNNNNNNNNNNNCAAAACGACGAGAAAAACAUGUACUACAACAUGGAAUCAUCAAAACAAUCAAACAAACACGUUUGCAAAAAUCCACUAUUUAAAUCUUAAUAAUUCGAAUUUUAAAACUUCAAUUACUCCCUACCUGUGAAUCUCAUGUUGUUUUUGAUUGCAGAUAUAGAUUCUACUCUUUGAUAUCUUCGAUUUGACUAUUCGCACGCUUGAUUCUGACUCCAAUAACGCCUUCAAAUCCACGUUUGAUUAUGAAGAACACGAAGAACACCGCUCGGUUUCUCUCGGUAUUCGUGCAGAGAAACUGGUGAAAUGAUUUUACGGGUGAAAAUCAGCUCUAGAAAAGUCUAUUUAUAUUUACAAAUAAUUGGUACCCCUUUGGAUCGUUUAUGACAUGAAAAUACGUAUUUAAUAGCUUUAUAUUAAUAAAGCGGGGUCCAAUCGGUACUGGUUUUCAAGAUAAUCAUCAAAACGGGGCUUUUUAACUCAAUUAUUGGUCUGCGGGUCCCAUUGCAAUUAUUACAAGAUAAGGAUGAAUCAAAAUAUCUAGUUUCACGUUUAUCGAGACAACCAGAUAAUUAUCAACAAUUAAAAUACCCGAAAAACUCCGCCGGACCGACUCCGGGGAAAACCGUACUCCGGAUCGAAAAAGUCAAAACACGAAAAAUGUCCGGAAUAUUCAAAUUAGACUAAAGGUGAGUUUUCUCGAAACUUUCGGGAAGAAAAAUCGCUAAGCCGUUACGAGUGAACGGUUUUCAAAUAAUCAAAUAAUCAAUAAUUAAAUAUAAAUAUACGCAAUUAAAUCCGUAAAUCGAUUAUAAAAUCAUCUAACAUUCCAUAAAUCGAUAUGAAAAUAUCCAAAUAAACUAUAUUUUCUCCUGAGCAUAUAGAAAUUGAAAUCUCUCAAAUACUAACACAUAUGAGCAGUUAACGCAAUAAACCAGAUAAUAUAAAAUUCACAAAAAUUCAUAUAUUAACCAUAUAAUACUCAUAAUUAACCAUAAUUAAUUAACCAACAAUUCCACCAAUACCACUUACUCACAUCACACAUAUAUUCACAUAAUAAUCAUCUAGAAUUUUCGAAACAAUAUAUGAAAAUCAGUUUUAAAAAUAUAAUCAUUUAUCAAUAACACAAUAACCCGGGGUUUAGUAUAAAAUUUUGAAAACUCCUUAAACUGGAAUAAAAUAUUAAAUCUUAUUCCCUUCUUUAAAGAAAAAUCACUUUUAAUACUAAUAAAAAUAUUUUUAAAAAAAUCCGGGUCAUUACAACACACCCACCGCUUGGACUAUCUGAUUGUAACAUCUGGGAUUAUCCGUGUAAUUAUCUGGAUGAUUAAUGANNNNNNNNNNNNNNNNNNNNNNNNNNNNNNNNNNNNNNNNNNNNNNNNNNNNNNNNNNNNNNNNNNNNNNNNNNNNNNNNNNNNNNNNNNNNNNNNNNNNNNNNNNNNNNNNNNNNNNNNNNNNNNNNNNNNNNNNNNNNNNNNNNNNNNNNNNNNNNNNNNNNNNNNNNNNNNNNNNNNNNNNNNNNNNNNNNNNNNNNNNNNNNNNNNNNNNNNNNNNNNNNNNNNNNNNNNNNNNNNNNNNNNNNNNNNNNNNNNNNNNNNNNNNNNNNNNNNNNNNNNNNNNNNNNNNNNNNNNNNNNNNNNNNNNNNNNNNNNNNNNNNNNNNNNNNNNNNNNNNNNNNNNNNNNNNNNNNNNNNNNNNNNNNNNNNNNNNNNNNNNNNNNNNNNNNNNNNNNNNNNNNNNNNNNNNNNNNNNNNNNNNNNNNNNNNNNNNNNNNNNNNNNNNNNNNNNNNNNNNNNNNNNNNNNNNNNNNNNNNNNNNNNNNNNNNNNNNNNNNNNNNNNNNNNNNNNNNNNNNNNNNNNNNNNNNNNNNNNNNNNNNNNNNNNNNNNNNNNNNNNNNNNNNNNNNNNNNNNNNNNNNNNNNNNNNNNNNNNNNNNNNNNNNNNNNNNNNNNNNNNNNNNNNNNNNNNNNNNNNNNNNNNNNNNNNNNNNNNNNNNNNNNNNNNNNNNNNNNNNNNNNNNNNNNNNNNNNNNNNNNNNNNNNNNNNNNNNNNNNNNNNNNNNNNNNNNNNNNNNNNNNNNNNNNNNNNNNNNNNNNNNNNNNNNNNNNNNNNNNNNNNNNNNNNNNNNNNNNNNNNNNNNNNNNNNNNNNNNNNNNNNNNNNNNNNNNNNNNNNNNNNNNNNNNNNNNNNNNNNNNNNNNNNNNNNNNNNNNNNNNNNNNNNNNNNNNNNNNNNNNNNNNNNNNNNNNNNNNNNNNNNNNNNNNNNNNNNNNNNNNNNNNNNNNNNNNNNNNNNNNNNNNNNNNNNNNNNNNNNNNNNNNNNNNNNNNNNNNNNAUUUAUUUAUGAUAUUGAUGUUCUUAUUUUAUUGAAUAAUAUUGUUGAUCAUCUUGAUUGUGAUAGAAUUGGAUAGUUUUCUAAACUUGGACCAGAUGAAUGGUCAGACCAGAUGAGUGGUCACUUUAGGCCAAUGUGUGCCUUGGAUCCAAUAAACGAGCAUGGUGGGACCUGCUCGGGGUUAGUGUCUGACUGAUCAGCAGCCUAACCUUUGAUUUUUAAAAAUAAAUUUAAUAUCCAAUUCUAAUCAAUGUUCUAAAAACAAAUCUUGGUAUUGAGAUUGAUUCCUUGAGACACUGGUUUCCUUCAGCUUAUGAUUAAUAUUUUAAAUUGAUAUUGUUAUACUUGCUGAGCUGGUUAGCUCACUCUUGCGGUAUUUUAUGUUCUUUCCAGUGAAGGCAGAGAAAGUUGGUAACGAUGACCCUCAGGCUAGUAGUAAGGUCAGGAUUCCAGGCUAGGAGAUGAAGAGAGCUAUCAGCAGCACCUGGCUUUUCAUAUAUGUACUAGUUUGAAUAACGAGACACAAAUGGCGUGUAAGCUUGUAAGAUUUAAGUUUUUAUUUUGGGAUUUGGGUUUGUAAUAAUUAAAGUUGUGUUGUGGCUUGUUUUAUACUUUAACCUGUUGCGAUCCCAGGAAAGGGAAGGGUCACUAUAUUUAUUAUAUCAUUAAUUACAGGUUUAUGUUGAGAUGUGGACCCCAAACUUCUGACCCGGGUUUGGAGGGUGCCACAAAAGAGAUAUACAAAUUCCGUUGGAUCUGCAACUUCAAAGUCCUUGAUAAGUCAAUGAAACAANAUGGUGUUCAAUAUUUUUUAAUUAUAUAAAAUACAAAAAAAUGAGCAAAUUUUUUCACUGUUUUCAGGGCAGAUGUAGACGAGAUUGCUCGGAAAAUCAUUAUUAUCAUUUUUAAUUUUCAGAAUAUUUGUAUUCAAUUAGUUAAGUAAUUCGGAAACAAAAUGAUCAAUUAUUUAGCUUGUUUAUUUGUUUUUCAACCUGGCAUGAUCAAUUGGAAGUUUGUUCCGAUUAAAUUGAUUUCUAAAUAUUAAUGAAAUUCGCUUUAAUUUUGGUUUAAAAAAAAAUCGACAAAGAUUAGUAUAUUCAUGUGAUACGGCCUUGCGCUGGGUUUCGGCCCCAAAUAACCAAAUUUGGGGUGAAAAUGCCCCAAAUAUCAAAAUACCCGAAAAAUGGCCCUCAAUGACAAAUAGAGACGCUGCUGGUGUAGCGUUUUUGUUAAAAAAACAAAAACGCUACAUCGUGUAGCGUUUAGCUCAUUUUUUUUAAUUUUAAAACUGGAAAACGGUACUUCAGUUGGCGUCUUUGUUUUAGUUUACCAAGAGACGCUGCUUCAUCUACCGUUUCAAUUUGUUUAUUAAUAAAUUUACACUAAAACGCCACUUCGUUCAGCGUUUUCAAAACUUUUCUCAACCUUCCACAAUUCAAUUUUGUUGGGCUUUUGGUGAUGGGCUUUUUCAAUUUGCUAAGACCUUGUACAAACUUUUCGUUCAGCAUCAAAAACAUUAUUUGGUCUCACGUUUUUUUUAGACUAGUUACUCCAAUUAAUUAGGGUUUAGGCUCGAGUGUUUAGGGCCAAUUUAAUUUAUAGUACAAAUUAAUCAUUCUGCAACCCAAAACUAAACCCUAAAAGUUAAUGAUUGUAAAUUAAUUUAUUCCGCCGGCAUCUCGGCUUCAGGGCCUUCGGCCCUUCAGCCUUGCUUGAUUAGGGUUUAGGCUCGAGGGAGUAGGGCCGCCGGCCCUACACCCUAAAUCCUAAACUCUAACCGUCGACCAAUUUAAUAUACAGUACCAAUUAAUCUUUCUAAAACCCAAAACCAAACCUAAACCCUAAAUGUUAACGGUUGUAAAUUUAUUUAUUCCGCCGGCGUCUCGGCUUCAGGGCCUUCGGCCCUUCAGCCUCGCUUAAUUAGGGUUUAGGCUCGAGGGAGUAGGGCCUACGGCCCUACACCCUCAAUCCUAAACCCUAACCGUCGGCCAAUUUAAUAUACAGUACCGAUUAAUCUUUCUAAAACCCAAAACCAAACCUAAACCCUAAAUGUUAACGGUUGUAAAUUUAUUUAUUCCGCCGGCGUCUCGGCUUUAGGGCCUUCGGCCCUUCAGCCUCGCUUAAUUAGGGUUUAGGCUCGAGGGAGUAGGGCCGCCGGCCCUACACCCUCAAUCCUAAACCCUAACCGUCGGCCAAUUUAAUAUACAGUACGAAUUAAUCUUUCUAAAACCCAAAACCAUACCUAAACCCUAAAUGUUAACAGUUGUAACCCUUUUACCGUCAACCAAUUUAAUAAACAGUACGAAUUAAUCAUUCUAAAAUUCAAAUAUAAACCCUAACUGUUAACGAUUGUUAAUUUAUUUUAUUAAAUUUAACUAAUAUUUUUAUAUAUUUUUAAAAAAACAUGUAAAAGGGUCAAAUAUAUAUUUUAUAAUUAAUUUGAAGGGGAGCACAAGUAUUUUGUGUGUUUUUACGGGCAAAAAGAAAGAUUUGCAAGCAAAAAAGAAAGAUUAGACAGUGGGGAAAACUUUAAAACGCUAAAUGCAGCAGCGUGUUCCCUCUUUUGUAAGACGCUAUCUGCCAAGCGUCUCUACUGGUCAUUUGGGGCCACUUUUACAAAAUCGGUUAUUUAGGGCAUUAAACUCCAAAAUCGUGUUAUUUAGGCCCAUUUUUCCCUUGUUGCGCUUGUUCAAUUUAAAACGAGUGGCAAAUGAGCUCAUCAAACUCCCCCUACUUAACUGUUGUUCUGUCGCUUCUUCAUCUAAAACACUGGAAACGAGUAGACUACAGAGAUGCAUCUAUGGCCAUCAACUCGCCUCAGAGACUCGUUCAAGAAAGAUUACUUAAACAAACUCCAACUCAACUUUCGUCGCAUGAGCUCUCACAAGCAACAAAACUCACCAGACUCUAGUUCCAGCACUACCCUCUUGAACAAAGAUGAUGUCAAUAAUAAUAAUAGUAAAGAAGAUGAAGAUGAUGGGGAUUCUUGGGUCUGUUGCAAGGACGUUCUUUUGAUUUUCUCCCUGUGUUUCUGCUGUGGAGGUGCUUCUUCUUGCCCUGUUCUUGAAUUUACUCAUUCUUGAUUUAUUUUUGUGAUUUUAGUGGGCUUUUUUUUAUUUGAAGUGGGUUUUGUUUUGUUUUUGAUUUGGGUUUAUGGGUCUUGUUCGUUUUAAUUUGUUGUUAAAAUGGAUUGUGUGAAUUUGUGGUAUGAUGUGAAUUCCCUGUUCUUAAGGAUUGAAAUUGUAGGCGAGUAUAUAUGAAGGUGGAUUGUAGUGGACUGUUUGUAAAAGAUUAAUUUAGUUUCUGAUCAUGGUUUGGCGACUUGGGUAUAAUUUUGGAAUCUUUGCAAGUUUUUAUGGUUAUGAAUCCCUUGUUGAAGUUUUUUUUUUUUUUUUUAAAAAAUAAAUUAAAUUUCUGGUAUGGUUUUGUGAGUUAUGCUUAAUUUAGCUGAGCAAGUAAAAGAAUUAUUGUGGGGUUGAAGUUGAAAUACUAAGAAUUCUGUUUGUGAGAUUUGUUAGUCUUUUUUUACUAACAGGCGACCUUGUUUGCUUAGACUUUAAAGUAUGCAACGUUAAGCACAAGUAGACACUACGAGUCUACGAGGAAGAAUGAACAGUCAGUUGUUUCCACCAUGAUAAAAUGAAUUUAGAUGUUGUAAUAGAAUGAAUUCAGAUGUUGUGUGUAGAGGGAGUUGAAUCCUUGAGAUCAAAACCAUAUACGCAACUUGGUCAUCCAAAUGAAAUGUUAGUAAACUCCCAAAAGAUAUGACAUCGAGGCUUAAGCAUUUGCCUCCUAGUCUUUUCUUUGCGAGUUGUGUUAUGUGAUCAAUGCUAUUUCUUAAUCAAGAGUCAAGAUUAUUAAAUUCUACGAUUGAACUUGGAAGUGAUACAUGACUCUCGCCCAACCUUUGAUUUCAUGUUAUUUAGUAGGUGUUUUUUAUUUUGCCAGCACUGUUUCUUUCAGUACACUUCCUUUCUUUUUAAUCAGCUAACUCAUUUCGUUUAAUCAGUAGACCAGUAUCGAAACAUAAUAUGGCAUGCUAAAGAAACACAUUCUGUUUAACCCAACUUAUUACAGGAGUUGAAAGGAAGCUGAGUGUGUAUAACUUGUAAUAGUGUUUUUGCAAAGGAUUGAUCUGUUUGAAGUUUGAAGCCUCAUGUAGAUUGGUAAACACUUAAUAGGGUCCUCCGACCUACAUUUCUGGGCUAAAAUACUAAGCGAUCAAGGAUUUAGUUUUUCAUCUUGAUUCUGUUAUAUAUUAUUUUUGUUUCAUGUCCAAAUGGGAACCUUAGAUGGACAAGUAAUCUUAUAGAGUCCCCUAAUGAUGGAGUGACAUCGCUUCUCUAGUUCGAACUUAGGUAUCCCUUGGAUAUGAAGCAAAACAGAGAUCUUGUUCUGAUGCGAGUGAUGGGAAUAGAUGUUACUUUCCCUUAUUUAUUGAAUGUGUUUAGUGCAUCCUCUUGUAAAGGGUUACAUCAGAACCUGUUUUUUCUUCUUCUGGAAACUGUGGGCCUAAAAACAGUAGAAUAAUUAUUUUGACCGCCUCAAUUAAAAAAGAGAGAUGUAUGUGUAUAUGUAGUAGAUACUCUGGUAAUCUUGAUAUAGAUUCUCGUAUCUUAUUUUUCGUUGUUAGAUCUGUUCUAUCCUAUUACUGAUUAUCCUAAAUAUGUCGUCUAUGGAUGCUUUAUGUAUAAUUCAAAUCGGACUGUAGAUUAAACAGUUUUCUUGAUACCAGAUUUCAGAGGAAGCUUGUGUAGAUCAGUGAUGCAAUUCUAAUAGUUUAGAUAUAACAUAUAUUUAAGUUUCUCAGUUUCUCUUCACAGUUUUGUUAUGUUAUUUGUCUUUCUUCCUAUCCAGCUUGUUGCUGACUGGUUAUCAUGAAGAAAUCAUCAUCGAGCUACUAGUUUGUUUAGACAGCCUGCAACAUGGAAUGACUACAGAACCAUGUAUGCGGUGCACUUCCGCAGAUUUCUUGAACAACUUUAUACAUACAAUUAUGCAUUGUUGAAAGAACUAGGUUUUACUGGAAUUCAGUCUCAUAUGUUAAUAUAUAUUAUACUGUAAAUUGUGCUCCAUGUUAUUGAUCUUAUUCGGGAUCUUUCUGAUGGCCCUAUUGCUUCACAUCUUAUACUUAUUUAAUUUGCACGCAGUGCAGUAGAAUAUCAUGAAUUAUGAAGCUUGUGUGUGAGCGUACACUACACACACUCGUGAUCAGCAGAUAUCUUUAAAUUUCACCGUCUUCUACCCUCGUCUUGAAUUCUCCAGAUAGUCUAGCUACUAGGCCUAAACCCAACCGAGAAAAGAGGAACUUUACAGAUAUCUGUUCGUUGUGCUCAAUUCUAAUCAAUGUUUGCUUCAAGACCUGAGAAGGGGUCUAUAGAUUGGUACAGAUAGUAAUGGCCUCAACCUGUUCUUUCAGUUGUACUCUGAGCCAGCUUCUUUCUGGGUCUCAAGCUUCUAAUUCUCAGCUUCUCAGUGCUGUUCCGUAUGAUAGGUCAUUUAAUUGUAUUAACUCACUCAUUUCGUAUUACAGUCAUCUUGUAUAAGUGUAACAUCUUGGGAUAGCUCUCAUCCAGAAAUUUGAUGAAAAUGAUUCCAAAUACCACUGCCGGAGAAAAUGAGCUCGUCGCAUCAUAUUAUAAUUCAAAAUGCUAGGUUGUUCUACAUUUGUCCUCUUUUCUUUUCUACUGUAUCAUUUUGAAACACUGAACGCAAUUUCAUCUAAGGCCAGAUCUAGCCUUUUCCAAUUUCAUCUAAGGCCAGAUCUAGCCUUUUCAUAGCAAAACAUAACACGAUCUAGUAAUUUUUUUCCAAGAAAACAAAAUACUACAUUAUCCAGCAUUGAUAACUAAUAUUUGGAUCAUUUCUCCCAAUUCUUUUGAAAUUUUGUCGUCUUUUCUCCUAAACAAACUAUAUGUGUCGUGAGAUUACUCGCUAUCAAUUUCAUUAAAUGAUAUGUUAUCAGGUAAAUUAAACUAAUACAUCAAAUAGUAAUAUAAUACAGUAUUAUAAAAUAUUCGAUUUUUAAUCCGAUCAAUCUUUCAAAUUAAUCUCCGAUUAAUUCCCGAACAGUACUUUCAUCUAUUAAUCUUGAUUUCCGAUUUUUGUAAUAUCAUCAUUAUAGAAUUAUAGAAAUACGUUAAAAAAAGACAAUAAAGGUGGUUUACAGCUGCGGUGAACCCAAGGUAAUGUCCCUUGCCGGUUUUGACUCCGACGUAAAAAGUUCUCAAAUUUAGUGCUUUGUUGGGCAUGAGUAUGACCCUACUUCACAGCGUCACUUCUAUCAAAAAGAGUAAAAAAACACUGACAGUGUCACUGACAUGAGUCACGUUAUCACGCAUUCACAUGGCUGAUUCAAUAAUUGAGUGUCAAUUUUAAUUUGUUGAAUUGAAAAUUUUAAUUUUAAUUGAGUGACAAGUAAAUUUUGUACAUGUAAAUUUCAAUUUAAUCCAUUUUUACUAAAACAUGUUAUUUAAAUCUCAGUAAAAAAAUUUAUCCGGUCACUACAUAUUCGAUGCCAAUAUGUUGUUGUACCCCCGCAGAUAUUUCCCUCUCUAACCAAACAAUAGUGAGUCAUGAGCUGAGACUUACCUAAACUUUGGAGAGAGUUCGAUCCUGACUCAAGAUAAAUGCUGGCGGCAUGCUUAACACACGCAAAUCGGACGGGAAGUGGUGUUUCCAGUGGCGGACGUCUUCAAUGAAAAAUUAAAUGAGAUAAUAACAUAUUAUAACUAAUAAUAUUCUCAGACUUCCCUAUUAAAUCAUGUUAUAAUCAUUUCAAAUAUGAUAGAAUAUAAAUUUGAUAUAAAAUUUGUUACAAAACACCUUGUUACCAAUUGACAAUUAUUGCGAUUUAACUGGAAUGGUUGCAGUUUACUUUUACAUGAUAAAAUAUGCGGUAGUAAUCACAUCAAAGUCUUGUUCAGAAAAAAAUAUUAUGAAAUCAUAUAUUAAAAGUGUCUUAAAAAAUAUGUCAAAAAAAUAUAUAAAAAUCCAAGGGAUAUAGAAAGGCAAUUAAUAUGACCAAUAUUAUCGAAAUAAAUGAUAUUAUAAUUUAACAAAUUUAACCGUAUAUUUCAUGUCCAAUUUUUCCAAAAUUAUUAAAAAUACUAGGGUGUCACAAUGUUUUGGCUAGUUUUGGAGACGCUGUUUGUAUGUUCGACAUGACAAAAUAUGCUUUUUAGACUAAAGAUUUUAGCCCAAUAAGAAAACAAAAAAUUUACAAACAACUACAAGUAAAUAUUACUACAGUACAAGUGAAUUCACAUGUCCCAACAACUCUAUACACAGUUAUAUACCAACGUAGGUUUUUCCGUAUGCAGCGUAAUCAAAUAAUUUCAUAUUUCAUAAAUAAAAUAAUACUUCUAUACACAGUAUAUAUACAAGUAGGUACGAGGGGUUGUAAAAAUAGAGGCUCACUGCCGCAUCACUGCAGUCUCUCCACUCAGUUUCUCUCAUUUCCACCCAAAUUAAAACCCUAAAACCCUAAUUCAGUAAGUUUCUUCAAUUUCCCCCGUCUUCACUAUGACCCAUCUUUAAUUUUGAUGUAAAGAUGGUUUCUUUACACCAAUCUGUUGUAAAGAUAGCAUCUUUUUAUUAAUUUGUUAUGACCCAACUUUGAUUUUGAUGUAAAGAUUGAAUCUUUAUGUCAAUUUGCUGUAAAGAUGCUAUCGUUAAUGUUAUGAUCGUUUCAUCUGUCACAGUGCGUGUUUGUGCUGCAGUGCAUUGUGAAUUCUUGCUUAUGAUGUUCUAUAUGAAUUGAGUUGUUUGGAUUAAUUGUUUUUCUUAUUAAAUAUGUGAUUUUGUGUUGGGAUGUGUGUUUAUGCUACACAGCAUGUAAUUCUUGCUUAAAAUGUUCAUAUGUAGUAUGGUUGGUUUGAUUAAGUUAUUUUCCCUAUUAAAAAUGUGAUCUUUUGGGGGAAUUGGGAUGAUUUCUUGUUUCUUGUUUGGUUGAAUAUUUGAUUUGCCUUCGGAGCUAUAAUCUUUCAGUUUUUGUUUGAUUGAUCUGUCACAUAAUGUUUGUGGUUGUUUGUCUGUGCUACACAGCAUUGCGAUUCUUUCUUAUAUUGUCCAUAUGUGAUUUGAGGGGUUUGAUUAGAUUGUUUUUCUUAUUAAAAAUAUAUCGUUUUUGGAAAAAGUCGGAUAGUUUUUCCUAUGGUUAGUUGGUUGAAUAUUUGUUGCCAUUGGAGCUAUCAUUUUUUCUGGUGAGUGUAGCUUGAUCUGUCACAUGGUUCUCUUGUGCUCCUGACCAUUGUGAAUCUUGAAUAUAUUUUCCGUAUUAACUUUUGGGCAAAUCAGUACAAUUCUUCCUUCUAUAUACAUAGAAGACCUCGAUUGUAAGUAUAUAUAGAUAACUCUAGAGCCGAAAGAACUUGUCAUAUGUCAUGGUUUAAAAACCAUGGGACCAUCUGAUUUAUGAGUUUAGACAUAAUUUACAUAACUGCUGUUGUCUAAUAUCUAUAAAAUCAUAUCUGCUUAUUUGACAGAUUCUGCUAUGAGUAGUUCUGGGGAGGAUACGGACAUAAGUGAUACUGAAAUUGAGGAGUAUCAAGAAAAAUCCUAUGAAGAGCUGAAAAACGGGGAGAAAUGUGUGAAAACAUCAGAUACCACUUUUGCUUGCCCUUAUUGUCCAAGUAAAAAAAGGAAGCGAGAUUAUCAGUACAGGGAACUGUUACAACAUGCUGGCGGCGUGGGCAAAGGCAGUUCAAAGCGAACUGCAAGAGACAAGGCAAACCAUCUUGGAUUAGCUAAAUACUUGGAAAUUGAUAUGACCGAUGCUUCUGGUCCAUCUCAGGCUUUGGCGAAGGUUGAUAGUCCUGCAGAGUAUGAUGGUGACGAGGUUUUUGUCUGGCCAUGGCUGGGAAUUGUUGUUAACAUUCCAACUGAAUUUAAGGAUGGACGGUAUAUUGGAGGAAGUGGUUCUAAGCUAAGAGACCAACUAGCCGCCAGAGGUUUUAAUCCCACGCGAGUUUCACCUUUGUGGAACUAUAGGGGUCACUCUGGCACUGCUGUGGUUGAAUUUAAUAAGGAUUGGUCUGGGUUUACCAAUGCCAUGGCAUUUGAAAAGGCUUAUGAUGCUGAUCAACAUGGAAAGAAAGACUGGAAAGCAAAAGGCCAGAAGUCUGGUAUAUAUGGAUGGGUUGCUCGUGCUGAUGAUUACAAGCAAGGUGGCAUUAUUGCGGAUCAUCUGCGUAAGAUUGGAGAUCUUAGGACUAUAUCGGAAAUUUUGGAAGACGAAGCUAACAGGACUAGUAAACUUGUAUUAAACUUGGCAAAUGUGAUUGAGGUUAAGCAGAAGCAUUAUGAAGAGAUGCAAACCAAGUAUGCUGAGACCACCAACUCUUUGAACAAGUUAAUUGAAGAAAAAGAUAAACUUAAUCAAUCAUAUAACGAAGGUUAGUUUUCCUUUUUUGUUGUAUAGUUUUUUGUUUAUAAUAAAUCGGAAUCUGGGAGGGGUGAACUGAUCAAUCACAACAGAGAUAGACUUCUUUAUUAGGGAUCACUGACCAUAUUGUUCUGUCAUUAUGUAUUCAUAUUUAGUCUACCAAACUGGUUUGGUUGAAUGCUUCUAUACUAUUGCAUGAUGCAGAGCUAAGGAAAAUUCAGGAUAACGCUCGGCAACAUUUCCAGAAAAUAUUUAAGGAGCAUGAAAAGAAUAAGCAGCUAUUAGAAACUCAAAAGAGAGAACUCGAAACGCGUGGUCAAGAAUUGGAGAAACGUGAGACCCAAAAUGAAUAUGAAAGAAAAAAGCUCGCUGAAGAUAUUGAAGAGGUUUGCCAGAUGUUACUUUGUUUUCCGCAUUCUAUAUAUUGAUUGAAUUAUAUCUUUCUUACAGGUUGAAUUGAUCACUAAAAGGAUCUUUUACAUAGUAAUAUUCUCAAAGCUAGGUUUUUAGUGUAAUUUCUGACUUGUUAAACCUGUCCUUAACCUGUACCCUAUGUAAAUCAGUAAAUGCCUUCAUUUUUUAAUCAAUAUUGGCUGCUGGUUUUUGAAGUGCUGUAAGCUAUCAUUUUGAUUGUCCAUCAAGGUGUUAGAGUAUGGUGGUACAUAUCUAUCAAACUGAAAGGCUAUAUAGAAAACCCAAGUGUGACCGAAAGAUGUAAUUAGCAGCAGUAUCAUCCUUUUCGAAGCAAUUGUAGUUAUCCAGCCAUAUAAGGCACUCGUUUAAGACAGCGUUGAAGACAAUGGCUUCCAUUUAGAAACAUACAAGUUAAAUUUGUUGAUUACUCAUCACUUGCAUUUACGUGAAUUAACUAUAUGAUCAAGAUGUGGUAGCUUUACUUGUACUUAAAAAUAUGCAGACUAAUUUUUCCUGGCAUUGUUUGUGCAACUAAACACUGAUGAAUAUAUGCAAGAGUGUGCAUAGUGACUGUUUAUAUAAAAGGAAAAUAAAUCUAUGAGUACUAUGUUAUUCUCUGAUUUUAUUUUGUAAUCGUGUGAGACCAUGUAUCUCUGCUUUCCAGAAUUCAGUUAGAAAUAGUUCCUUGCAACUGGCAGCUGAUGCGCAAAAGAGGGUUGACGAAAGUGUCAUGAAAUUGGCAGCAAAUCAUAAGGUCUGUAAUUGUUUAUCUUGCUUUUAAUGACUUUCUGCAAUGAAUUAAUGUUCAAAUAUCGGAAACUUAUGAUUUUUAACUCAAUUUUAUUUCAGGCACAAAAAGAAGAUUUGGACCGCAGGGUACUGCAACUGCAAACACAGCUGGAUGCAAAACAAGCUGUUCAGCUAGAAAUUGAGCAACUCAGAGGAAAUUUAAAUGUAGUAAAGCACAUGGUGGGAGACGAUGGGGAUUUGGAAGUUCUUAGGAAGGUGGAAGAUAUACACAAAUCCUUAAGAGAAAAAGAAGGAGAAUAUGAAGAUCUACAAGCGUUGAACCAAGCUUUAAUUAUCAAAGAACGGAAAAGCAAUGACGAGCUGCAGGAAGCUCGUAAGGAAUUGGUUACUGUAAGUUUGCCUGCUAAAUUAAGUAUAUAUCUAUGCCAUAUUAUAAAAUCCGAAGUAAUGCAUGUGUGUUUGGUUGAUUUGUAAUUUGGUAUGGCGGGUUAUAACCGUUAGAUAUCUUUAUGGCGGGCUAUAGCUGUAUCUUAAAGUAAAUAGAUCACAGUCGUUAGAUCCUAUAGAAAAUAAUAUUCUAUAUUUUAAUAUCUAAAAUGCAACUAAGGUUUUAAGGUUCGAAUCCCCGUCAACAACAUAUUAAUGUCAAACACUUAUAUCAUCUGUUUCAAACAUACAAACAUAACAUAUUGUAGUUUAUUUUUUAAAAACAUACACAUAUAUUUUUUAAUUUAAAAUUAUAAUUCACUGUUUACUUUAGAAACGCAUAUAAAAAAUUAUAUAAUGGUAAAGAAGACUAAUGUGCUAGUAUAUAUUAAAUUUCAGAGAGAUCUUUAACUUUUUCAUCGAGUAGAACGAUAUAGUGUGGAGCUUUGCUGUUUAUGGUGUGUCUUUUAGUCAUAUUGGUAAUUGUUUAUAUCUAACUAUGGUUACCAUUGAUAAAGAAUUUUUGAUCUGUAAUAAAUAUUAUGUUAGUAAAGCAAUCUGUACGUAUAUAUUCUAUUUUUUCCGUAGCUGAGAGAUUUCUGAGUAUGAUCUGGCUUUCCUUACUUGUCCUAGGUAACUAGAUAUAUAUAUAAACUAUAUAUGUUAGAUAAAGCUUCUUAUAGUAUCUAGCUGCUUCCGCUUUUAUGAGGAAAUUACUAAUCAUAUUUUUAUUGCAGGCAUUAUCAGAUAUAUCAAAAAAUUCUCAUAUUUCUGUGAAGAGAAUGGGUGAGCUGGAUCCCAAACCUUUCCUGGAAGCAAUGAAGCGAAAAUACAGUGAAGAAGAAGCAGAAGACAGAGCUUCUGACCUGUGCUCUAUGUGGGCGGAACACCUCCGAGAUCCUGAUUGGCAUCCAUUAAGAGUAAUCGAAGUAGAUGGGAAGCAUAAGGUAUUAUUGUUCAUUUCUAUUUAUAAUAGAAGCAGGAAACAUGUUAUAAUGUUUAUGUUGUUUUUGUAGAAUAUAUCUUAUGUUUUAUAUGUAGCACGAGUUAAGUGACACUUGCUAAUCUGAAUUUGGUUCAUCCUUCAAGUUGGUACAUGGUGUUUAAUUUAAGCAGUUAGAAAUUAUAUUUUAAAUUUUUUUGAAUCCUUGUAUGUUUUUCAUGUGCGUCCAGAAAUUGCGUGCAUUGUGUAGCUACUAGCUAAUGAUGGACAUCAGCUGAAACACAACUAACAGUUGCAAGUCCCUUUAGUUUAUUGACUGUCAAUGUGUACCUUUCUUUGGAUUAGAGUGGAAAAUAUUAACUUGAGUAAACGCUAGGAUUUCAUCCACUAAGUGUUCGGUAGGAAGUUCUUAUGUUUCGCAAUUUAAGACCUCUGGUAUCACUUGCAAUUUAUGUGUGGAACAUGUAUUACAUGGUAUUUGCCAGUUAAAGACAGUUCUAUGAUAAUGUUGUAACUUAGUUAGGUGUGUUGUAUUUACUACCAUGUGCUUAGUAGCAUGAGAUGGAAAAGAAUAGAGUGGAAAUUUUCUUAUUCUGCUUGCUUUUGUAGUUUUCUUCUGUCGGCUUUUGUUUUGUAUUGGAAAAUCAUAUUUACGCAAUACAGUAGAGCUUCGAGAGCCUCAGCAUUCCCAUUUCUUUUUCAUAAUAAACUUGGACAAGCUAUUGAUUUGUUUAGUUAAUAUAUGGUAUUCCCAUUUCCUAUUUUAUGAUAAACUUGGAUAUGCUUUUGUUUUUUGAAAUUCAUAAACUUCGAUAUGCUAUUCGUUUGUUUGGUUAAUAUAUGGUUUAUUGGUUCAGGAAAUAAUUGAUGAGCAAGAUGAAAGAUUAAAAAGCUUGAAGAAAGAACUUGGCGAGGACGCGUACAAUGCAGUGACUGCAGCUCUAAGAGAGGUAAACGAGUACAACCCAAGCGGAAGAUACAUCACGUCGGAAGUGUGGAACUACAAAGAGGGUAGAAAAGCUACUUUGGAAGAGGGAGUUAAUUUCUUACUUAAAUUAUGGAAAGAUCGGAUGGAAAAAGGGCUUUAAAAUUGAUUGUCCUUUACGGGGCACCUGUGCUUCGUGGAAGAAGUUUAAUCUCUGGAUGUGUAUAACUAUCUACCGGUGAAUGAUCCGGGCAUCACUAUGAUGUAUGGAUCAUGCUUAUGUACUCUGUUUCGAACUUGGUAACUAUGUGAGUGUUGGUUUGCUUGUUUGUGUAUGGGUGUGCUCUGUUAGUCUAUUUGGAAGAGCAGGAUACAAUAUCAAGCUGAGUAAAAUUUAGCUGAAAUGAUAAUAUGCUUGAUGAGUUUGCAACAUCUCUUUGUCAAAUUUGUUUCAUGUCUGAUUUUUCUUUUCCCAUAUAAAAAUUAUUAUCUUUAUUUAGAAAUAAUAUUAAAGUUCAUUUGAUUAGUGUUUCGGUUAAUGAAAACUAACAGGAAGCUUAGACUAGUGUCUUUUUUAGAACACCAAUUGAAAACAUUUGCAUAAACUAGCAAAUCUAAAAUCAAUAGUUGUUUGAAAGCAUUGUUUUAAAAGUCGGUGAUUAAUAUUAAUCCCUGUUUCGUAGCCGUGAUUACAUGAGAAACUUAUUAGAAGUAUGGCUGUAUGGGUCGUGUGUAACAUGUUCAUUCUGGCAAGUAUGAGAGAUCUUGCAGUAUCUGCUCCAAAACUAUUGAACAAGCAAACAAUCCGAGCCCCCAGAGCCCCAGUCCUGCUCUAGACAUCGCCGUCUUGUUCCCAGUGUCGUCGUAAUUCCUCUGGUACAUUACAUAAGCCAUUGCUGGUGGAAGAACUCCAUACAAAAUCGUCAUGCAGUAACCUCCCUGUUCACGAACAGAAAGCGGAGUUAUUUUAUUCAGAUUGCUUCACAUUGGAGGAUGGAAUGGAAUAGAGGAGAAAAUGAACGUACUGCAAUGUCCGUGGCAGCAGAGCAUGCAUCUGGAACUAUAGUUGACACACAGAGGGUUGGCGCGACCACCAUUGUUGUUGCUGUCACAUUUGCUUUAUUCUUUCUCCACCAUUUGCUUAGCCAAUGUUGUUUGCUUGGUUCCUGCCAGAUUUUUGCAUUUUAUUUUAGUACCGCCAGACUGAGUCUAGUCGAUGAGAAUAAGAACAUCAAGCAGAUCGUUAAGCACCUAACUGGAAUUAGUUUCGAGGGAGGACUCUCUGAUAGCGUACUUAGUUGUUCCUUGUAGAACUGAGAGAAGCUCAAGAGAGUCCCGAUUAUUGAUGUUCCUAUAGCUAGUAGAGAGAAGGCCUCUACCAUAACUGAAACGCCAGGCCAUUUCGCGCUAUAUCAAGCACAAAGGCUUAUAACUGGUUAAAAUCAAGAUUUCAGAUGGAUCUGUGCACUCUAACUCCAUAAGGAACAAGUAAAAUCAAGUUACCUCAUUAGCAGUUCAACAGGGUCUGUGAACUGGUGAGCCUGAGAUGAGAGGCCAAGUGCUAUCGCGUUCCAAACAAGAAACGCUAACAAUGGAACUACACUUCCUAGCAAAAGAGAAGCCCUUAUACGUCGUACAUCCCCCUCCAAAUAUGCACAAAGAACUGCAUAAAUGGCAUUGUCAUUUGCCUUGCCCUAAAUCAAUCAUAACAGAAAUGCACACAAACUCAAAAGCACACACUCUUACCAGGUACAAGAUCAUGAUAGACCAACGAAAAGAUCAUCACUGGAAUCGUGGAUGGAACUUUUGUCCAGUCUCCGUUUGCCUCAAAUCCAGACCAUCCUCCAUAUGCCACCACCAGAACCUCAAUCAACGCAAGCAAACCUGUUUCACCAACUCAAACACAUCUUAGCCUAACAUACAGAAACUACCAUGACAUCGACGCAGCCACACUGUAAACAAACACAAGUCUAAUUUCCAGUUUCAAAUUCAUACCUAUCAUAGAAACAGUGAGCCAUUGGUUAACUUGAUCAGUGGUGCGCGUUCCACCAACAGUAAUCAGAGUACUGAAGAUAGCAGUAAACAAGAAGGCUGAAGCCGACUCGGGAAUAUUUAACAAAUGGUUAAGGAUCUCCCCAGACUUAGAACUGUAAGCAAUCAUAGAAGUGUAACCUAAGAAAACAUAGGUGACAGUAGCCAAGGAACCACCCAACUCUCCAAGUGACUCUUGUGCCAUUGUUCUAAUAGAAAUUAUUUCUAAUUCAUUCUCUUUUAAGCCACUCUUCUUAUUUUUCUUUAGCAAACCAACAUUCACUUCAACUAGCAGAAGUGCUUCAAUCAAAAGAAAUGCCCAACAUACAGUAAUUGAUAUUGUGCUUGGAAUUAGCCCCUGUUUGUCAAAGUAAACUAAUCAUAUAACUUGCGUAAACGAACAUAAAGGUAUCUAAUUAAAAUUUAUGAAGAGUAAGAGAUUACUGCAGGAGAAGUUUUCUUAGGGAGAGUAAGAAUUCCAGAGCCAAUGCUGGUGCCAAUGAUCAAAGCAACUGCACCAGCUAUAGUUCCUUUCUUCGACGAACCGUCUGGAGUCUCUUCUUUCAGCUGUGCAAGCCAUUUAAACUUUUUCUGCGGCUGCACAGCACGAAGCUUCAAACUAUGUGUUGAUUUUUCUCGUCGUAAACUGCAGGUGUAAGAAUUGCCACAGGUGCUGCAACAGUAGGGUUAAAAAUGGGGCGGGUUCGGGGCGGGGACUUCAUUUCCCAGCCCCGCCCCACAUAAUUUUUUCCUGCCCCAUCCCCGCCCCAUUCCCCGCGGGGAUUUAUUUUUAAUCCCCAUCCCCACCCCAUCGGGGACUUAAUAUAAUUUCGCCCCGCCCCGCCCCGCUUCUAUAAUAUUACACCUUUAAAUAAUUAUUUUAAAAUUAAUUAAUUUUUUCUUCAGAAUUUAAUAAAAAUAUAGGAGACAUGUAUAUUAAAAGCAAAAAACUAAUUAUAAUAGAAAUCAAAGAGACAUGUUAUACAUUGUAAAAUUAUAGUUUUGUGUAUUAAAAAUAAUAAUAUUAAAUAUAAUAAAUAUAUUAUAUUAAAUAUAAUAAAUAUAUUAUAUUAAAUAUAAUUAUUUAUUUAUAUUAAAUAUAUGUGGGGCGGGGCGGGGAAUCCCCGCGGGGAUUCAACAAAUACCAUACUUGCCCCAUAUUUUGGCGGGGCAGAAAAUCAUUCCCCGUCACUGCCCCAUUCCCCAUAUUAGCGGGGCGGAUCUGCCCCAUUCGGGGCGGGUUAGGGCGGGUUCCCCAUUUUCCCCACCCCAUUUUUAACCCUAUGCAACAGUCAUUAAAAUCACAAAAGCAUGAGAAAUUAGUGAUCUAAAGCAAAGUGGAUUAAAAUGAUUGUGAGCAGGGGUGGAUCUAGACGCACAGGGGAAACGUAUCCCCCUAAUAAUUUUUUGACAAUUUUACACCAUUCUAAAUCUUACAAAAUUAUAGAAGUUCGCCAGAAAAUUUGAAUAUAUAUAAGUGUUUUUCGAAAAUUUGUCUGGUACCCGAAGAAACCAAUCCUAGAUCCGCCCUUGACUGUGAGAGUGAGGAGUUACAUCAUACAUGCUGAUAUUUGACUGAUCUUUUAUGUUCUGGACAUAACAUGUUGCCCAUGAAUCCGAUAUUGUCUUGGGAUUUACAUGAUUCUUUUGCUGAGAAUGCAGAGAGGAAGGAAUAUAGUGUAAAUUCAUGAAGGCAAACAAGAAUACAGAGUUUGAAUGAAGAUUGAAGGGCUAAAUGGAAUAUGCAAGAUUCUUGGAAGUGGGGUCCUUGAAAGAAAACAUGAGUGGUGAGAAUGAGCUUUCAACUAAAAGCAACCAAUGCUAGAGUGAGUGGUAGGGCUAGGAUAUUUUGACUUGUAUACCACAUGUUAAUCAACUCUAUUCUUGAUAUUUUGUAUGAAAAUAUACAACAUUGUUUUUCCAGAUUACUAGGCAGCUAUUUCUGAUAUUCUGAAAGUAAAGGACAUUCACAGUGACCGCGAUUGGAUAGCCCAAGUGGUGCGUUUAUACUCUGUUAUCACAUAUCCAGAUUCGACUCUCGCUCACCCAAAGAAAUUAUUAGAGCAGUCCUUAAAAAAACUCCAGUAAAUUCACUUGCAAAUUACAAGGGAAAAAAAAGUGGACUUCAAGAGUCGAGACUUGUUUUUAAAUAAAUGAAAACACAAUAUACGACAUACCUGCAACAGAUUUUUGUUGCAGGGAAAAACACUACCUGAUCCUGGAACCAGAUAAUGAAAAUAUGAAGUGAAACAACUGAGACAAUCACAAUGUCAGACCAAUCUUUACAAUCUGAUCCAGCCAAAGAACAAUAUCACUUAUGCCAGCGCGUUCGUUUGGAUUUUCCUUCAGAGCCAGCUCUGCAACGUCUGCAAGUUUCAGCAAUGGUUCCACAUUUCUUGGCAAGGCUGUGUUUCUGUCGAAAAUGGCAGCUGCCCUGCCCCGUCUUAUUAGAGGCAAAGCCCAGUCGACGAUGGCUGGAGGUUCAAAUUCACAUUCGUAAGCCUUUCUGCCACUCAAAAUCUCCAGAAGAACAAUCCCAAAAUUAUAAACAUCAUUUUCUGUACUUCCAGUUGAAUCCGUGUCAUUAACACUCAAAAGUCCGAAGUCAGAAACUCUUGCAUCCCAGUUAGAGUCCAAGAGAAUAUUUGAGGCCUUCAAAUUAUGAUGAACAAUAGGAGGAGAAGCUACUUUGUGAAGGUAUUCGAGCCCUUCUGCAGCUUGUAAUGAUAUCUUCAACCGCAGAUUCCAGUCGAGAGGAGAGAGUUCCCCGUGGAGAUGAUCAUGAAGUGUCCCGUGUGGCAUGAGCUCGUAUACCAGUAACCUCUCCCCCAUAUCCGAGCAAUAGCCCAGCAAGUUCACAAUAUGAUUAUGUCGGAUAUUGCAGAGAAUGUCUAGUUCUGCUUCAAAUUCCCGGCCAUUAGUACGGAUUAUAGUGGCAGCAUUAGCCCUUUUGACAGCCACUUGAGUACCAUCAGCAAGUGUGGCUUUGUACACAAAUCCAUAGCUUCCGCGUCCAAGCUCAUUAAACUCCUUGAAACCAUUUGUAGCGUCUUUUAAUUCUGAGAGACGGAACACCUGUGCAGUUCCAAUUGUAGCUGUUGCAGAAAUGGAUAGUUCAUGGUCAAGGCUGGGCUCAGCCUCCACAGACUGCUUGCGGAAGCAGGAGAAGCACUGUGAUUUAUCCUUGUCCUCAUUAGAACUUGCAAAAAAUAGAGGAAUAACACAGCAGCCUGUGACAACUAAAACCAAAAGUAUUACACAAGAUCCAACGAUAAUCACUAACAUCUUGAUGUUCCGCUCUUUAGGUAGGUUCUUGGAUGAAGAGUGAACCCCGCAGACAUCCCAGCAAGACUCGCUCUGGCAGAGAGAACACGCGCUGCAUAUUCUGUCCACAUUCUUACUACAUUGGCUAGAUGGGAAAAAUCCUUUUGAGCAAUUUGACCCACAAGGCAAGCAGAUCUUCAAGUCUGGCUGAACACAUACACUAGCCAAUUCCGCUUCAUUAAGAAUACUAACAUUGAAUGAGAACUUACCAUCACCACAAGAACUUGCAGAACAAAUCCCCGGACUACAUAACUGCAAUGGGGGACUGUAAUUUGGGGGAGACUGCCCUUGAACAUCCCAACAAUCAAGAACUAAAUCCGCUUCCCUAACCCCACAACUCGUGGAUUCAGACGAAGCAAUUGCAGUAAAGCCAUAAUCUUUUGGGAUUGCAGAAGACUUAAUGCUCCCCCAACAUUCAAUCCCAUGAUCAUCCUCUCGAAUUCCGCAGAAAUGAUGGGCACCAGCUGAUAAGGCCACAAAACUAAUGCCUCCAGGGAAAUCACCAAAUUCCCUGGAAUCUCCCCAGCAUAACAACUCACCAGAUUUACUAGAAAUCCCACAAACAGAACCCCUCCCAGAAGCUAAAAUCUUCACACUCCCUGAAACCCCCAAUUUACCCGAUUUCGGACCCCAGCAGACAACCCCUCCAUCCUUAAGCACACCACAGCUAAACCCAUCCCCAGAAACAAUAUCCCUAAAAACAGACUCCCCCACAUAAGGCUCAAAAAAUGAAGCAUUAUACACAAGAACAUUAUUUAAAAACUCCCAACAAUCCACAUUUCCAUACUCAACAUCACCAUAAUAAGACCCCCUAAUAGCACAGACAUGAUUCUUGCCAGCAGCUAUUUUCAAAUAAGUACUAGACUUAAAACCAGGUUGAACAAGAAAUGUACCAGGACUAGACAAUGUCCAACAAUAAGGCUCCGAACGAUUCGCAGUGAUGCCGCACAGAAACUCCUCUCCACCAGAAAGAGCCACCAUAGCUGGCAAAGUACUAACAUAUGCCAAAGAAGAAGAAGAUGAUUUGUUAUUGUUCUUCUCCCAGCAAAUAAUCUCUUGCUUACCACCUGCAUCAAUGGCACAGAAGAAACCAUUCUCACCAAAUGCAGCUGCAAUGGGGCCUAAUGAGCCAUACCCAAAUGCAGAUAUGGCCAGUGAUGACAGCAGAAUGAGCAACAACAUUAUGUGAUUUUGGUUUUGAAAUGCUAUGAAACUCUUAGUAUCAUGGAGUUGCAGGGGAAAGUCAGUUUCGAGUUGGAUUGCAAGAAUAAAUAUAUAUAGUGGCCUACGGCCAAGUUUGGAAAAUAUGGUCUCAAAUAUUUUUUCAAGAUUAAUCGAGAAGGUACCGAUUUUUCGAGAUCAGCCGAUGAUGGAAACAGUUGAAGUAAAAGAAAGGGAAGAAUCUGAACAAGUGGAAUUGACUUGAUAAUAUAGAAAUGGAUACAUGCAAACUAAAAAAAUAUUCUGAAUCUGAGACCAAACUAAGGAUCGAUCUGUCAUGCAUGUGUAUAGCGGAUCAAAGUAUUAAAUACAAUGUAUGUACAUAAGUACUUAUUGACUUGUAUUUACAGUCAAAUUUUUGCCCCUUUUUUCACUCUUGCUUAUAUGCAGCAUCUAUAUUCUUUCAGCUCUUGCGUUUCUUAGGUGCUUGCAGACUAUUUUAUAAAAAUGGCGCUUCAUGCAAAGUUUGACAUAACUAUAAACUGGUCUCUCAAUCUUGUAGAAAUCGGAAAUUAAACGAGUGACUUAUCGAUUUAUAAUUUAUUUGAGAUUUAUCAUAUAUUUCUUUGAUUAAAAUAAUUUUUAAAAUUAAUCAGAGAUUUUCAAAUAAAUAAGAAUCUUUAAAACACCGCUCCGAUAUAUAUAUCCUAUCUCUCUAAGUUUUUUAUGAAUUUCAAAUUAUUUUUCUGAGGAUAUUUUUAUAAUUUUAAGAUGAUGUGAAUAAAUUUUAAGAAGAGCACGUCUCCCAGAGCAAACCGCCAACUCAAGUCAACACCAACCGGAGAUGAAACAACGAUCAUGCAGAUCAGUUGAAACUUAGGACGCCAGAUGAUGAAAAAAUAAUAAAUGACGAUUGUUUAAGCAUCGGCAUAAUGAUUAAUUUGAACGAUUUAGCAAUAAUUAAAUUAGUUGAAAUAAUUGUGACUAGAUGCUGGGAAUUUAAAAUUAUAGAAUGGUGGAUACUCAUGUAUGAGCAAAGAGAAUAAUACGGAGGAAACAGGGUGUAGGAGGGGGAGAUAACAUCAGGCUAAUGUUUUCUUAAUAUUGUCUUUUUGUCUCCUGCGCCAUCUCAAGAUCAUGGAAUUAACAUCACAAUAUUUUAGCUGAUUCUGUUCGGUGUCUUUCAAAGAUCGUUUCUUCUCUUUCCGAUUUUUUUGGUAUAAUUUAGCAUUGAUUGAUUUCACACUAAUAUUGAUUAAUAAUGAGUUCAAUAUUAGAGAAAAAUAGUAUAUAUAGAAAAUCAUAAAGCAAAAUAAGGAAAAAAAAGAAUAAAUAAAUAAGAGAGAGGUUAAGAAACAUGAUCGCUCCGGAUCAGAACCCGCAGUACGUAUGGGCGUCCAUUAAUAUUACUUAACAUGACUUGUGGUGAUAAAUUGAGAAUUUAAAAAAAUUGUUUAAAUUUUUUUGACUUAUUAAUAAUUUAUAAAUUAUUAAAAAUAUAAUAAUAAUAAUAAUAAUAAUAAUAACCUAUGACUUAUGAUUUUUUUAUUAAUUUAAAAAUAUUAAGUCACUAAAAAAAAUAUCUGAAAUUAAUUUCUUUUCUAAAAGUUAAAAACAACUUUACACCCUUUUAAAAUUGCACCGAGAGGCUCUGAGGAAAUGAAGCAAGAACUCAUUGUUCCGGAAACCAGAUAUCAAACUAGACUUCUAAAUAUUCCAAAUGGGAUUCUAUUUAAAUAAUCAUUCAAGUGUGUAUAAAAUGAGUCAAGUGCUUUUAAGGUGAAUCAAGUUGAGAAGCGAACAUGUUAAGGUGAAUCAAGUUGACUACAGAGGUGUUUAAUAGUAGAAGUACUAAAAAAAGAUACACCCUGUACUUUUUGUGCCCGCAAAACUCAGUCUAAUUCCAAUAUAUUUCAAGAUUUGUCUCUCUUUUAUUCCUCCGUAUUUUGUGUGUGUUUAAUUUAACUCGGUAGAUCAUCAUGUGGCUUCAGGUAUAUAAGAUUUAAGAUCAUGAAAUAUGAGAUCGCCUCUUCUCGAUAUAUAGUUUGAGAUUAAAAGCUUAAAACACGGUCUGAGUUUGCUUAGAAAAGCCAUUUUCAAUAUCUACCGAAGUUUUUUCGGUAAUCCACCAAAAUUCAGGUACGUGACACGACAUGAAAGUAAUUGCUUCUCCAAUAUACACAUUCGAUGUGCGGAAAAAUGAAGGAAAAAAAUUUGUGAGGCAUAGGCCAUCAUCAGCAUGUUAAAGAAACCAAAAUCUAACUUGGAAUACAAAAUGUACAAUGUGCCUAAUCACCUCCAGGUACACAAAGUACAGAUUAGGAAUAAUAUAAACAAGUUGUAUAACGAAAUCAAAGACAGUGAACUAAUUAAAUUAGUUUCUCCAGACUCUACAGCUGUGAACUUAAUGAACAGACUAGUACGGUAAGGCCAGUACGGGGUUUGACAAUACGGAAAAGUUGACGUACGACUCUACUGAUUAGAUCUAAUGUGCAGCACUAAUUUGCCGUUAAGUUAUUAAACUAUAACCCCAUUGGCUUAGUUGCAGCAAAUUAAGAACUGCAAGUGCCCAAAAAAAUAAUUAUUUGACGAGGUUAUUCGUUGUCAGGUUCUCUUGCAUAGUAAGAACUCAACCCCAAUUAGAAAAUGUGCAUCUAACAAAAAAGACUAAUAACACCAUAUAAUAAGACUUAUAGCAGCAAAAUAGAUUCGUCAAAAACAGCAGUGACCCAAACUUAAAAUCGUUUUAAGCAAGGUCUUUUUUUACAAGCAUUUUACAUUGAUAAUUAUAGCAUAACAUAGACAAACAACAUAUUCAGAGACUAAAAGCUGAUCAAAAUAAAGAUUUAGAGUGGUGGUUCUGGCUAACAAGUACCAGAUGACCAUUACCACAGGAAACAGAAGUGAAACCACUACAAAUUUCGGAAAACAGAUAUAUACUUGAUGUUAUAUAUGAACUGCAGAUCAUCUGUCCCAUUCCAAAUUCUUAACUCGGGGAUCCACCAUCGGUGCAUUAGCUAUGCUUUUAGGGGGCUGAUUGAUGUAUCGGUCCCAGCCCAUAAUGUGAGGUAAAGCAAACUGCAACAGCAUGUAAUUACUUGAUGAGAAUACAGAGAUAAUAUAGCAGACACUUGCAUGUAGAAACCGGUAAAGAGAACCUGCUUUAAAAGGACUAAAAACACAGACAUGCAUGUUCCAAAGAUACUCGUAUUGGAGGAGAUGCGUACGCAACCUUAUUUCCAGAUGAUAAUAGGUAGUGGAGCCACUAAAAGCCUAGGGGUAUGUCUGGAGACUCUAAUUUGUUUUGGAAUAAAUGUCUUAUAUGUAUCGCAGCAUGCAAAACUUCUAGUAACCAAGCUGGUUUAAAAAGUUAUUUAAGGUUCAAUUCCAUAUGAAAGAGUGUGGGUUAAAAGAGCCCACUUCUACUUUUUCUUAUCACCCUGCCUGUAUUCAAAUUCCUCUUCAGAUCCUUGAUUUUUUUUUUUAAAACAUAUGAUUUUGAGUACCCUGCAAAAAAUUUCUCCACAACCAUUGACGAUAUACAAGGAAACUAGAGGAUGCUUGACAAAAUAGAACCUCAAAUUCAUGGUACAUCGAGGCACUAAAUUAGGAAAAGAACAAAGCAAUCUCACAACAAGAUAAACCUAAAUUAGAAUAAAUCUUCUAGAGGAUGCUUUUGUUGAAGUAAUAUAUCUACAUAAGUUGGUAAGUUUGCUAGUUGGAGAGUGUUAAGAAGAGCAUGACAAAAAACAAGAUGUUUGAUGAAGUUGGUUUAUGUCAAGGUAAAAUUAAACAAGAGAUAAAAAUUUGUUCACAACUGCUAUUACAAUUUUCAGGAACUUCCCCAAAGUCAAGACUGUACCAAAUUUAGUAAAACCAAGUUUGGGAACAAUAAUGAAGAAAUCUAUGUCUAUAUCAAAGAAUUAGGUCCUACAAACAAAUAAGCAAGAAACAAAAGAUUUGAAGGCAAAAUCGACUGGUUUUAUAAUAGAAAAAUGGCCACAUGCCAAAGAGCUCUUCUAGACUAUUCUAAGUGGUAUGAGCUUGGAAAAUAUUGAUAUUUACUAUAUCCAAGGAUAACCUUAUAGUAAAUGAGGAUGAUGCAUGGAUGAUAUCCUUGUUUAAUAUACGACAUAAACAGAAAUAAUAAAUGUGUCUGUAAGUUGUUACGUAUGAUAAAAGUUUUGUCCGGCUCAACACUAAGGCCAACUAAGCGGUCGCUUAGGGCCCCCAACCCUAAAAUGGACCUCAAAAUUUUAUAAAAUCAUAUAUAUUUAGAUAAUAAUAAUUAAAUUUUUGUUUGUAAAUAUGAAAAAAAAACAAAAUAUCUAAAACGAAUAUGAGUUAUUGUACUUUAAAAAAAAUAAUAUAUAUAACAUGAAAUAUUAAUAAAUAUAAAUAAGAUUAACUUAAAAAAUGAGAAUUAAAUGAAUCAAAUGAUUUUAAUUUUUUUAGUCAUAUGUGUAUUAAGUACUUACUAAAUAUAAUAAAAUUUUAUUAUCUAAAUAUAUAAUAUUUAUUUUUCAUAAGCUUUACAUUAUUAUAAAAUUAUAUUAUUUCUAUUUUUUUUGUUAUAAUACUUUUUUAAUGUUUAAUUAAUUUAAAUGUUACAUUAAUGUACAAAUAAACCUAAUAAUAAAUAAAAAGAACAACAUAUAAAAUGGUAUAUAAAUUUUGUGUAAAAUAUAAAGAUAAUUAAUUAUUAUUUUAUCAUAAAUAAUUUUUGUGUAUAAUUAUUUUAUAAUAAUCUAAAAUAUAUACUAUUUUAAAUAAAAAAUAUUUUUUAUAUAUAGAGAAGGCUCAUGUUCAAGUCUGCUUAAUUAGAGCCUCAUGUUCAAGUCUGUUUAGGGCCUCAAAUUUAAUUGAGCCGGCCCUGGAUAAAACCCAUACGUAAACAAAACUAAAAUCUAAUAUAAAACAAAACAAAUAGACAACUUAAUCAUUUAAACCAGACUAUUCUCUCACCUUAACAUGUACAAAGCUGCAAUCUAUUCCAAAUGAAUAAGUAGCAGUCCAUUGAACCUAUUAUACAUUCAGUUUAAAAGUAAUUAUUAAUUUCUGCUACUUAAAUUUAAAAAUUUACCAUGAACAAAUAUCACAAAUGGAGAAGCAUAGCUACUUACAUCUUACUGAGGUUUUAGCUACCAGAUAUUUCCUCAAAAGAUGUUACUAUAUCCUUUUUCCAGACAAACAAGAGACACUAAUGGUUCACAGGCUCUACUAUGACAAACAUAAAACAUAAAACAAGUACCGACAAAUCACAACCAAGAAUAAGUGCAUAAAAGAAAGGUUGAUAUAUAUCAUACACUGAAAGCUGUACGCAUCACUGCAAAUUCAGCUUUAGUAACAGGCACUGUAACUCGCUCGCUGAUUUUCUGGACAUUGUUCACAACACCUGCAACGAAUAUUCAUAGAUUGAGAAUAUAAUUAGCAGUUGCUUUAUAAGGCUAUAUCUCUUGUGAUGAUGAUUGGAUAUUGAAACUUCUGUUAUCUUGUACUUCACCCAAGUAUAUUAAGCUAUACAACAUGUAGCAACUACUGCAACAACAUAAAUCCCAAUUAAAUUACACUGAAUAUUGAUUUGAUGUUAAAAGUAUAUAAUAGGUUACGAUGUUACAUGAUCAUACAAUUACAAAAGGUUAGGUAAUGUCAUAACCAAAUCGUUCUUCAAAAAAAAUAAUAUGGCACUGUAAAAAAGAUCUGGAAUUUACAUAGAGUGCCCGUUUGGGUGAACUGGAAAUAAUCACUUAUGGCUUAUAGUGACUUAAUGAGAUAAGUGCGCAGCUCAAAUUGUCUGAUUGGGUAAUUUUAUAUUAUAGUUGACUUAUGAGUUAUUAAAAAUAUAAUAAUAAAAAUAAAUUUAAUAGAUAAUUUAUUCAAGUGAUGAUAUUAACUUUUAUUAGAAAAUUGAUAAAGAUAAAAUAAAUUGUUCAUAAAAGUACAUCCUACCAACUUUUGACUUUAAGUCAGUUUCUGGAUUAUUUUAAUUUCAACUUAGUUGUUGACUUAUUACACAAAUAGCCCUUCAGCUUAAAAUCGAAAAUGGCUUUCGGCCCGCCCAGGCAAACAGGCUCAUAGUUUGUAUAGUUUCAGAUUUAAGCAGGUACAGAUACAGAAUCGACUAUUCAGACUUACUCAAAGAUAUGAAAUAACCACUACCAUCUGCAUGCGGUUUUACUUGUAAUGUCUUCCUCACUUGGCCAGCAUUGCUGUAAUAUUAAAAGUUAUAUAAAAUCCAUAUCAAGCGAAUAAUAUUUUUGGAACGGCAAAUAAGAAAAGUGAUAAAAGUAAGAGGAUACAAAAUAUCAAUACAGGAGGAUUUGGAAUAAGAAAUUUAAGAAAUAUAAAACGGGAAACAUCUGAACUCGUUUGAAACACCACAGAAAACUUACCAAGAAAAGUAAUGAAAACCAAAUCCCAAGAAUAAAAAACAACUAAGCGGGGAUUACAUAAUCUCUGAAAAAGUAACUUGCAAGAAGAAGAUAGUACAAAUAUAACUUUCUAAACAAAUCCUAACUUUAUAAGAGGUAUUUCCAGAUGUAUUAAUUAACUUAACUGUUAGGAUUUAAAUAGGCUAAUAGUGACAAGUGAGGAUUAUUAUAGUAGGAAUAAGAUGGUACAGUAUAUUUAGUUUGGAGGUAACCAGGUCAUUUCACAGAAGUUGGAAGCUGGAAUCUACAAAUACUAGUACCGAAUGUACUUUUUCUGUAUGCUGAAUGUUAUCCGAAAAACUAAGUAGCUUUCCACCAAUUUGUUUCUCUCUAGAUUCUUGCUGCUUUCUCACUCUAAAAACUAUCUUUUUCUGCAAGAAUUUUUUUAUCUCUCCCUAAAAUCUGUUUUAUCUCCAAGUCUCUGCCAUAAUUCUCUGUAAUCUCUCUCUUCUACCUGUAAUCUGCAAUUUACUACUUAGUUUGCAUUUGCAUUCUCGAUCACUUGCAGAACACACCAAAAUACAUCUAUAGAAUUCACUGAAAACUUUGUAGCUUCUGACAAACUAGAAAAAAAUUUAUGUCAAGUCUUUUCGUCUUUUACAUAAAAUUUAUCCUAAUAAUGAACCUAAAUUAAUUCUUACGACUUAUUUUAACUUGAGUCCAGCAGACAUCAACUCAAAGCCAAAGCAUUUCAAUUGUUAACAAAAUAAAUGAACAUACGAUACUAGAAAAUAGAAGAAGCAUAAUAACUAAAGAAAAGUAAACAUCCAGUUUAUCACAGAUGUACCUUGUCUUCAUUGAAGGAUCAUGAAAAAACUCACAAGCUUCGUCAGGACCCAAACUUAUCAGUGACCCGAUCUCCGUGGGUGAUAAAGCAAAGAGCUAUAAGCCUUAUACACAGUCAGUUAAGUAAAUUUAAUAUAAAAAAAUACAGGUAUAAAGGAAUUAAAUAAAUAUUAACAAAUGAAAAUGUUCUGUACAAGGAGCAAAACUUCGUCCCCGAAAAAGUAGGGAAGCAAUAGAUGACAUGUAAAACUAUUAUCCCCCUUCUACAAUCUUUCUUAUAGUUGGUGUAAAAUAACAAUUACCUCAAUGAAUACACAUCUAAAUUUUUAUGUAUGAACACAGCACACUACCUUAAAAAUACACCAACGCAUUUAAAUAAUACACUUUACAAAUUGCAUAUUUCAACUCGGCCCCUCUUUUCUAAGCCCCUUUCUCAGCUCAAAAAGGGGAAUGGAUGUGAUGCAUAGCACAUAUCAUUGGGUUUUAUUAACAAGUUUGAGAGAAAAGGGGAAGUGGCAGCAGUCCUUGUUCAAGGGAUUGCGACAUUCGCUCAAGGACUAAUGACCAAAAGUUUCUGUAACUUCACCAUUCUUUGAGGCUUCAUUCACUCGCUCAAGGGGCUUCAGAGUUGCAUCCUUUCCUGGGGCUAGAGCGGGUUACUUUUGGCUCAAACUUGUUUCCUGUUUAUGCUCAAAACCCCGACUCAAGUGGUCAUUUAUUUGGUACCUCAAUGGCCCUUUUAUAUUAGGGGGUUUCAGAGAUCCAUAAGAGCUACUAUUGGAUUUUGAUAGUAAAAGUUGUUUCUCCCUUUAUUAGGUAUUUUGAAUCAAUUAACCUUACUUGUUUAUAUUAUGGUAUUGUUUAUAAUCAACAUACUUUGGGUCCGGGUCCCUGGCAAGUGAUUGUUGCAGGUUUGCAGCAAACUAUCCGCUGUCUUUUAUUGCGGAAAGACAUUAACACUAGGUUUAUUAUGUGCAUGCAGUGAGACCAUUACCCACAUUUUAUAUGCUUAUUUCCAGGUAUGACUGGUAGUCCACAAGUUAUAAGACUGAUAUAUGGUAUUCUGCAGAAUUAACAGAUAAUGGACAUUAAUUUUCCUUUUUUCCAUCUUUUGGUACGUCCGUUGGUAUCCUUCCACUUCCUACUUAAUCACCCAUAAACUCAAGAUUCAAACUUCAAAGUACUUUUACUAAAUAAUAUUAUUCUAAUACUCAUGUAUCACACCAGAAUCAUAUUGACAGCACCUACAAAUGAACUCAACACCAAGAUGUACCUGCUUUUUUUCCCAAUCGUAUUUGCGUUCCCCAAUAGCGGGGGAAAAUGACAACAUGAUAGUACCUUGACGUUCAACUUUGAGACUUCCAGACUGUAAGAACAAGAAAAAUCAACAAUUAAAUUUUGUACAGUAUAAGAAAUGAAAAGAGAUGGCGUAAUCUAUAUAUAUACACAGAUAACGUGAAUCAAUUCGAUAUGCAAAUUUUACAGAUGAACACAAAACUGAGAACUAGAAUCAACCUUUCACUAUUAAAAAAACAAAGAAGAAAGAGAGAAGCAAAACUAAUGGUAGAGAUGAAGAUAGGAAGUCAUAUGAUAUAUUCUUGUUGACCACAAAAAAGGGUUUAAAUCUCUUUCUUUAGGGACAAAGGGAGCAUGUUACAAAGGUCUCCAUCCAUUCCCCACAAUGUCCUCAAUCUGAAUGAUCCUUGUCAGCUCUACCAAUAACACAAAUUGGAAUGAACCAAUUUCAUCAAUUGUAACCACUUCACCAUUUAAUUAACACAAAAAACUGAUAUGUUUAUUUAGAAGUAUUAUAAGCCUCUGCAUAUAUAUAAUUUUGCACUCAUUUUAUUAUUUUAUCCUAUAUGAUCCUUCGAUAAAUUCCCAAGCGACUAUUUUUGUCACUAUGUACAUUAUUUUGAGCUGAAAAUAAAUUUGUUGUUCGAAAAAAUGAUCAAAAUCUCCGGUCAAUGGGAUAAUAUAAGGACAAAACAUGGUAUGAAUUAAAGCAAACUGGCCAAAUUGAGGCAUAUUAACCCAAACAAACAAACAUAGCUAAUAAAUUUUUAAAAUUCCACUCGUUGACACUGACUUUUGUAUGAAUUGGUAAUAACUCAAUCGCUUAUAUUUUAUGCUUUCACAAAUAUGGCACAUUAUAUUAAUAGUAAUUUUUUGCAUAAAAGGAUUGUUUCGCUAUAUUAAUAAAGGGUUUAUGCAACCACACAUCAAAAUUCUGCACAACACUUUCUACUUCACACUUUGACAACCAUAAUAAUGAGAAAAUAGCAAAUCCAAUAAUAAACUUUGGGGGUGUUUGGAUGGUAGGUGAGAAUGUGAAUCAAGAAUAAGAAUGAGGGGUAUGAGUAGCGCUGGCAAUAUUAGACCCGAGCCGACAACCAGACACAAAUUAUUAUAGAACAUAUAAACUUUUUUUAUUUCAUAUGUUCUUAAUUAUACUUAAAAUUAAAGACAGUUUGGUCAAUUUGACCGUUAAAAGUCGAGACGGACCAAAUAAAAAGGGAAGGCGGGAGUACCAACAAACUCAAAAGAGCAUUUUAAAAACAUAUAUUAUUUUAUAUUUUUUUGAAACUUUAUUCCAUAAUAAAAAAUUUCAAUCCUAUAUUAUAUUCAAAAUAUUAUCAAACCAUAUAAUAGAACCUAUAAUUUUUUAUAAUUUCAUAUGUUAGUAAUUAUAAUUAAGAUUAAUUAGUUGGAAAAAAAAUCAAUGAUAGAAUUUUCAAUGUCCUUUUAAAAUAAUUUUCUUUGAUUUUAAAAUAACUGAAGAAGAAUUUAUACAUAUUAUUUAUUUUUAAAUCAUACUCUCUCCGUCCCAAAGAAAAUGACCCUUUGAUUUUUCACGCAUUUCAAAUUUUUUUGUUUUGUCAAAAAAUAUGGAUCAUAUAUUUUUACACAAAACAAAAAAGUUUGAAAAAUAUUAUUUAUAAGUACCCCUACCGAACACAUUGAAAUGCGUGAAAAAGUCAAACUGUCAUCCUUUUUGGGACGGAGGGAGUAUAAAAUAAGAAAUAUAUGUCAAAUUUUAAUUUUCUAAUAUAUUCAAAAAUUUGGGUCGCGCUCAAGAGAGAACCAGUCCUUAAAAUGGAAUCAUGAAACCACUAAAAUUCUGCUGCAGAACCCUAAAUUUUAAAUAGAUUUUUAGGAUCCAAAUACAUUUUUUUUCUUUUUUUUCAUCGUUGUAUGUGUUCCAAAAUAAUUUUAAAAUAAAUAGAUAUUGACAUUUUUUGCAUGUGAAGUUCUGCUGCAGAACCCUGACUAAUACUAGAAAUAAGGUAAGGAUUCUAUGGGUUCUCUCUCUAAUGGUUCGCCCUUGAACAUGACUCGCACAAAAUUAAUACAUAUCUAUCAAAAUAUCCCGAGAAUCUUAAUGAUAUUAAUAUAAGCAAGUGGUGGACCAUUAGUAAAAGUACAGAUAACUGCAUGUAAUUAACAUUGAUUUGCUAGUUGAAAAAUAGCCCCGGGCCCAGGGAUAAUACUGUAAUCUCUAUACAGUUGACUCUUGAAAUAAUUAAUAUGCAAUUAUUGUAAUCUUUAAUUCUUAUACAACAAAUUUUAUAUUCCAAGUCGCUGUUUGGUGUAAAUAUUUAUUACCGAGGUCUUUGCCAUCCCUAUAAAUACCAGCUCACUAAGAAAAGACUUUCACAUCGCUCUUGCAUACAGAUAUAGUGAGGGAAGAGAAUAUGGUAAGGCCAAAGAAAGACCGAUGGACUCCAGAUGAAGACAUCGUGUUGGUAUCUUACGUUCAGGAGCAUGGUGCAAGCAACUGGAGCCUUGUCCCUAGAAAUGCUGGUAUAUGUGUACAAUUCUUUUAAGUAAUUUAUAUGUCAUGCUUUAUAUUUAUCUGGUUAUAUAUUAGUUUUAUACAAAUUUUUGCAUGAUUUGUAUGAUUUAACAGGAUUGAAUAGGAGUGGAAAGAGUUGUAGAUUCAGAUGGAUGAAUCAUCUUCGUCCUGGCAUUAACAGAGGAAAAUUUACUCAUCAUGAAGAGCAAAUAAUUAUCCAUUAUCAUGCUCUGCUUGGCAACCGGUAUCGCCACUAGACAGCUCGUUUCUAUUGUUCUUUUAAACCAACAAUCAAAAGAAGAAACUAAUGAUCUAUGUGUUUUUAAUAUAAAAUCUGAAAAUCGCUAAUUAAAAUAGUAAAUAAGAUCUUAGAAAGAUUUUAAAAAGAUGUAAUUACUUAUAAAAUAUUAUUGUAUAUAAUAUUAAUUACGGAUUUUGAUUUCAAUGUUUUUGUUUAUUUACAUGUAUGUUCCAUUUUAAUGAAAUUGAAAAUGCUAAAUUAAUUCGGUUGCAUAUGCAGAUGGGCAGAUAUAGCUGCACACCUGACUGGUAGAACUGACAAUGGUGUUAAAAACUACUGGCAUACACAUCUUAAGAAGAAGCUGGAUAUAGUUAAUGGUCAUGUUGAUGAACCAAUAGGGAAUCCAGUUGCUGCGCCUGCUCUUGUUUAUCAGGUUCCUCCUGUUCCGGCUCCUGCUCUUGUUUAUCGGCUUCCUCCUGUUCCGGCUCCUAGUUUUGCACCAGGACGUGAGGGUUUUGACUACCCUUCCAUUGCUCGGGCUCCUAGUUUUGGACCAGGACGUGAGGGUUUUGCGUACCUGCCCAUUGCUCUGGCUCCUAGUUUUGCACCGGGACGUGUGGUUUUUGCCUACCCACCCAACAUCUUUAUUUCUGCGGGUCAUGAGUCAUGAUCAGAUCUCUUUCGGCCCAUAUUAAAUUACUCAUCAUUUGGUCUGUGAAUUUGGGUCCUAGUUGCUCGGUCAUUUGCUAAGCUUACUUUCUUUCAGUUCGAAGUUCUAGUUUCGAGUUUGUUGGUGGUUGUGUGGAUAUUUUUAAAAAAAAAUUAUUAGCAUUGGAUUUUCUAUUAUUUUUUUAUCAAUGUAAUGAACUAAACAUUGAAGUGGUGUUCUUGUUUAUGAUGGAUUUAUGGUGUUUUAUUAUUGAGAAUAUUAAUUAAUUUGUAAAACCAUCAAAACAAAUCAAAAUUUUUGUUUUGUUAAAACCAACAUGGCAUGUUGUGCUUAAAUUGGUUAUGAAAUUAACUUCAACAAGCUCAUUUCACCAAAAAAAGAGAAAGAGAAAGAGAAAAGAGAACUGCAACAAGUUCACAUUAAACUGUCAUUAAUGAGCUCGACUCGUUAAAAAUUUCUCAAAUUUGUUCAUACUUGAGUUUGGAAGGAGUCAGAAAUCUUUUCUUAAUUCCUCUCAUUAAUAGAUCACAUGUAAGAAACGCUCACAAUAACUUACACAAUUUUUUUAAGAGAUUACUUACAAAGAUUAUGUUUCAUCUACAUAACUGAAGACGAAAAUUAGAGUGGAAAACAAAAAUAUUAAAUAAAUAACUUGUUAACCUAUAUUAUAUAUCUGUAAUUUUUUUACCAACAGAUAACUUAUAAAUAUGAUCCGAACAAACAGUUUCGGCAAACAGAGAUAAUCGUUUUAACUUUUAAGAAAUAUUAUUUUUUCUUAAAUCAUACUCGCUCCGUCCCAAAAAGUAUGACCCUACGACUUUUUCACGCAUUUCAAUGUCUUCAGAGAGGUACUUGUAAAUAUUAUUUUUCAAAUUUUUUUUGUUUUGUCUAAAAAUAUGGUUCUUAAAUUUUUAUACAAAACAAAAGUUUGAAAAAUAUUAUUGAUAAGUACCCCUACCAAACACAUUGAAAUGCAUGAAAAAGACUAACGGUCAUCCUUUUUAGGACGGAGGGAGUAUAAAAUAAGAAAUAUAUAUAUAUCAAAUUUUAUUUUUCUAAUAUAUUCAUAAAAUUAAUACAUAUCUAUCAAAAAUAUCCCGAAAAUCUUAAUAAUAUUGAUAUGAGUAAGUGGUGGACCAUUAGUAAUAGUACAGAUAAAUGCAUGUAAUUAACAUUGAUUUGCUAGUUAAAAAAAUAUCCUCGGGGCCAGGGAUAAUAAUCCAUAUACAGUUGACUAUUGUAAAAAUUAAUAUGCAAUUAUUGUAAUCUUUAAUUCUUACACAACAGAUUUUGUAUUCUAAGUCGGUGUUUGGUGUAAAUAUUUAUUACCGAGGCCUUCGCCAUCCCUAUAAAUACCAGCUCGCUAAGAAAAGACUUUUACAUCUCUCUUGAAUACGGAUACAGUGAGGGAAAAGAAUAUGGCAAGGCUACCUAAAAGCCGAUGGACUCUAGAUGAAGACAUCAUGUUGGUGUCUUACGUUCAGGAGCAUGGUGCAAGCAACUGGAGCCUUGUCCCUGGAAAUGCUGGUAUAUGUGUACAAUUCUUUUAAGUAAUUUAUAUGUCAUGCUUUAUAUUUAUCUGGUUAUAUAUUAGUUUUAUACAAAUUUUUGCAUGAUUUGUAUGAUUUAACAGGAUUGAAUAGGAGUGGAAAGAGUUGUAGAUUCAGAUGGAUGAAUCAUCUUCGUCCUGGCAUUAACAGAGGAAAAUUUACUCAUCAUGAAGAGCAAAUAAUUAUCCAUUAUCAGGCUCUGCUUGGCAACCGGUAUCGCCGCUGGACAGCUCUUUUCUACAGAUCCUUUAAACCAACAAUCAAAAGAAGAAACUACUAAUCUAUGUGUUUUAAAUAUAAAAUCUGAAAAAUCGCUAAUUAAAAUAUUAAAUAAGAUCUUAGAAAGUUUUUUAAAGAUGUAAUUACUUCUAAAUAUUAUUAUAUAUAAUAAUAAUUACAAAUUGUGGUUUCAACGUUUUUCUUUGUUUAAAUGUAUGUUCCAUUUUAAUGAAAUUGAAAAUGCUAAAUUAAUUCGGUUGCGUAUGCAGAUGGGCAAAUAUAGCUGCACACUUGACUGGUAGAACUGACAAUGGUGUUAAAAACUACUGGCAUACCCAUCUAAAGAAGAAGCUGGAUAUAGUUAAUGGUCAUGUGUAUGAACCAAUAGGGAAUCCAGUUGCUGCGCCUGCUCUUGUUUAUCAGGUUCUUCCUGUUCCGGCUCCUGCUCUUGUUUAUCGGGUUCCUCCUGUUCCGGCUUCUAGUUUUGCACCAGGACGUGAGGGUUUUGACUACCCUUCCAUUGCUCGGGCUCCUAGUUUUGGACCAGGACGUGAGGGUUUUGCGUACCUGCCCAUUGCUCUGGCUCCUAGUUUUGCACCAGGACGUGUGGUUUUUGCCUACCCACCCGACAUCUUUAUUUCUGCGGGUCAUGAGUCAUGAUCAGAUCUCUUUCGGCCCAUAUUAAAUUACUCAUCAUUUGGUCUGUGAAAUUGGGUCCUAGUUGCUCGGUCAUUUGCUAAGCUUACUUUCUUUCAGUUCGAAGUUCUAGUUUCGAGUUUGUUGGUGGUUGUGUGGAUAUUUUUUUAAAAAAAUUAUUAGCGUUGGAUUUUCUAUUAUUUUUUUUAUCAAUGUAAUGAACUAAACAUUGAAGUGGUGUUCUUGUUUAUGAUGGAUUUAUGGUGUUUUAUUAUUGAGAAUAUUAAUUAAUUUGUAAAACCAUCAAAACAAAUCAAAAUUUUUGUUUUGUUAAAACCAACAUGGCAUGUUGUGCUUAAAUUGGUUAUGAAAUUAACUUCAACAAGCUCAUUUCACCAAAAAAAGAGAAAGAGAAAAGAGAACUGCAACAAGUUCACAUUAAACUGUCAUUAAUGAGCUCGACUCGUUAAAAAUUUCUCAAAUUUGUUCAUACUUGAGUUUGGAAGGAGUCAGAAAUCUUUUCUUAAUUCCUCUCAUUAAUAGAUCACAUGUAAGAAACGCUCACAAUAACUUACACAAUUUUUUUAAGAGAUUACUUACAAAGAUUAUGUUUCAUCUACAUAACUGAAGACGAAAAUUAGAGUGGAAAACAAAAAUAUUAAAUAAAUAACUUGUUAACCUAUAUUAUAUAUCUGUAAUUUUUUUACCAACAGAUAACUUAUAAAUAUGAUCCGAACAAACAGUUUCGGCAAACAGAGUUAAUCGUUUUAACUUUUAAGAAAUAUUAUUUUUUUUCUUAAAUCAUACUCCCUCCGUCCCAAAAAGAAUGACCCUACGACUUUUUCACGCAUUUCAAUGUGUUCGGAGAGGUACUUGUAAAUAUUAUUUUUCAAAUUUUUUUUGUUUUGUCUAAAAAAAUGGUUCUUAAAUUUUUAUACAAAGCAAAAGUUUGAAAAAUAUUAUUGAUAAGUACCCCUACCAAACACAUUGAAAUGCAUGAAAAAGACUAACGGUCAUCCUUUUUAGGACGGAGGGAGUAUAAAAUAAGAAAUAUAUAUCAAAUUUUAUUUUUCUAAUAUAUUUAUAAAAUUAAUACAUAUCUAUCAAAAAUAUCCCGAAAAUCUUAAUGAUAUUGAUAUGAGUAAGUGGUGGACCAUUAGUAAUAGUACUGAUAAAUGCAUGUAAUUAACAUUGAUUUGCUAGUUAAAAAAAUAUCCUCGGGCCCAGGGAUAAUAAUCCAUAUACAGUUGACUAUUGUAAAAAUUAAUAUGCAAUUAUUGUAAUCUUUAAUUCUUACACAACAGAUUUUGUAUUCUAAGUCGGUGUUUGGUGUAAAUAUUUAUUACUGAGGCCUUCGCCAUCCCUAUAAAUACCAGCUCGCUAAGAAAAGACUUUUACAUCUCUCUUGAAUACGGAUACAGUGAGGGAAAAGAAUAUGGCAAGGCUACCUAAAAGCCGAUGGACUCCAGAUGAAGACAUCAUGUUGGUGUCUUACAUUCAGGAGCAUGGUGCAAGCAACUGGAGCCUUGUCCCUGGAAAUGCUGGUAUAUGUGUACAAUUCUUUUAAUUAAUUUAUAUGUCAUACUUUAUGUUUAUCUGGUUAUAUAUCAGUUUUAUACAAAUUUUUGUAUGAUUUAACAGGAUUGAACAGGAGUGGAAAGAGCUGUAGAUUCAGAUGGAUGAAUCAUCUUCGUCCUGGCAUUAACAGAGGAAAAUUUACUCAUCAUGAAGAGCAAAUAAUUAUCCAUUAUCAGGCUCUGCUUGGCAACCGGUAUCGCCGCUGGACAGCUCUUUUCUACAGUUCCUUUAAACCAACAAUCAAAAGAAGAAACUACUAAUCUAUGUGUUUUAAAUAUAAAAUCUGAAAAUCGCUAAUUAAAAUAUUAAAUAAGAUCUUAGAAAGUUUUUUAAAAGAUGUAAUUACUUUUAAAAUAUUAUUAUAUAUAAUAAUAAUUACAAAUUGUGGUUUCAACGUUUUUCUUUGUUUAAAUGUAUGUUCCAUUUUAAUGAAAUUGAAAAUGAUAAAUUAAUUUGGUUGCAUAUGCAGAUGGGCAGAUAUAGCUGCACACCUGCCUGGUAGAACUGACAAUGGUGUUAAAAACUACUGGCAUACCCAUCUUAAGAAGAAGCUGGAUAUAGUUAAUGGUCAUGUUGAUGAAGCAAUGGGAGAUCCGAUUGCUGCUCCUGUUUAUCAGGUUUCUCCUAUCAUGGUUACUGUUCCGGCUCCUAAUUUUGCACCAGGAUGUGAGGGUUUUGACUACCCUUCUAUUGCUCGGGCUCCUAGUUUUGCUCCGGCUCCUAAUGCAUGUACCAGGACGUGAGGGUUUUGCCUACCCGCCCAACAUCUUUAUUCCUUCGAGUCAUGAGUAAUGAUCAGAUCUGUUUCGCCCCAUAUUAAAUUACUCAUCAUUUUGAUCUGUUAAUUUGGGUCCUAGUUGCUUGGUCAUGUGCUAAGCUUACUUUCUUUCAGUUUGAAGUUCUAGUUUUAGGUUUUUGUUGGUGGUUGUGUGGAUUUUUUUUGAAAUUUUUAUUAGCGUGGAUUUCCUAUUAUUUUUUUAUCAAUGUAAUGAACUAAACAUUGAAGUGGUGCUUUUAUUUAUGAUGGAUUUAUGGUGUUUUAUUAUUGAAAAAUAUUAAUUAAUUUGUAAAGUAUCGAAACAAAUCAAAAUUAUUGUUUUGUUAAAACCAACAUGGCAUGUUGUGCUUAAAUUGGUUAUGAAAUUAACUUCUAACAAGUUCAUUUCACCAAAAAAAGAGAAAGAGAAAAGAGAACUGCAACAAGUUCACAUUAAACCGUCAUUAAUGAGCUCGACUCGGUUAAAAAUUUCUCAAAUUCAAGUUCAUACUUGAGUUUGAAAGGAGUCAGAAAUCUUUUCUUAACUCCUCUCAUUAAAAAUUACUUGUAAGAAACACUCACAAUAACUCACACAAUUUUUUUAAGAGUUUACUUACAAAAAUAUGUUUCAUCUACAUAAUUGAAAAUGAAAAUACGAGUGGAAAUAAAUAUAAUACAUAUAUUAACUUGUCAGACUAUGUUAUAUAUAUAUUAUUUUUUUUACCAGCAAAUAACUUACAAAUUUGAUCAGAACAAAUAGUUUCAACAACCCAGAGUUAAUCGGUUUAAGUAAUAUAAAUAACCAAGCACAAAAAGAGCAAAAACAUACUUCUAAUUUACUGAAUUGCGGGAGCCUAGGAGAAGCAGAGAGUGCAGCUUUCCCUUUGUAAAUGUUAUAAUCCGCAAACACUACGCCCGAGGCUUUCCCUGUAUGCACCAAAAACAAGCACAACACAGUCAAAAACGCAAAAACGAGACACCGAAAAUUAAACUACUCGAAAAAAAUAGAGUCCUAACCAUCAGUAGACAAACUCUGCGUAGCGGUAGAGAUGUAAGCCUUGGACAUAAACCCCUGCUCCUUGAAACUUUUCGCAGCACUUCCCCUGAACAAAAACAUUCAAGUUCAUACACAUUUUUACGCACACAGUAACACAAUUGAAACUGAAGACGUGCUCUGAGCUCUAUGUUGUAUUUUAGUGUGUGUUGUAAACGGUGUAAGAAGAGUGAGAUUAUAUAUAGAAUUACGAAAUAAAAAGAGAGAGGAUGUGUAAUUACCGAGCAAUUUGGUGUAGAAAUGGUUGGGCACGUCGGAGAAUCGCCGCCAUGUUUUUAGGGUUUUACCGCCUCUCAGGGGUUUUGAGGUGCAAUACUCCUUUUCGGGGAACACGAUUAGAAGCGGUAGUUUAAUCAAAUCAACAAAAUUUUAAUUUAGAGAAAAAUAGUCUUCCGGACACUUAUUUUCUUAAUAAUUUUUUAUAGACAGGUACUUUAAGAAAAAUAUAAUUACUAGUAUUUGUGCCCGCUCCGCAAGGGCAAGUAAAAUGUUUCUUAAAAAAUAUGUUUAUAUAAAUUUAAUGUGAUCUAAAUAAAUGUAGGAAAAACGCUUUUGUGUAUAUAUUUUAAUGUGAUAUUUGUUGAUUUAUGUAAACCUCUACUUGAAAUUAAAUUAUGUAAAAGGUACUGGUAGAUUAAUGUUCUAAUUUCAUAAAAAAUUGUUUGUGAGUUAAUAUUUUUUUUUAAAUUUCCCAAUAUAUUCGACUGUGGCUACAGGAAUUUAGAAUAUUUCUGCACUUCCGCCCUACAUAGUAAGGGGCCAGAGAAUAAUUACCGCAUAAAGUAGCAUUGGGCAGUGUUAUUGAUUAAAGUCAAUGAGUUAAUGCUCUUUAAACCUCACCUAAAUUGAAUCAUAACCCCCAUUUGUGAGCUCUAUCUCUAUCAUCUUCUCUCCCAAUUUCUUGUUUGCAUGCAGGUAGAAGUUCAAAACAAUAUAAUUUUUUGUAUGCUGUAAUGGAGUGCUCUGGGGUUAUUGUGGAGAAAUUCAUGAAAUUUCUUACUGCUGAUGACACUAAGAAGGAUGAGAUGGUGAGGUUCUUACUCCUAUGUUUUUUGCAUGUGCUGAUUUUUAUAGUUUCGUCGGUUUGAUAUGUCUUUGUUAUGAUUUGUCUUUUUUUAACAGAAAGUUUCUACUGAGAUUCUGAGGAAAUAUGGCUCAAGGAUUCAACCAUCUUUCUUUUUAAAAUUUCGUAAUGGAUAUGAAAAAACCGUUGUCUUUAACGAAGAGACGGGAACUUUUUAUGGGCUUUUUUCAAUAUUCUACGAUUUCAAUUUGGAAGGGGGUGAGAUGCUGCUUUUUGAGUUCAAUGGGUCUCGUGAUUUCAAUGAUUUAUUAAUAGGGUUGGUCCUAAGAGAAAUUGAAUAUCCUAAUAUAGUUCACUACAUGCAGAAGAAGCGACCACGAGUGGGUAUGAGUCUCUUUUCAAUUUUCAUUUUGUUAGUUUGAUAUCCUAAUGGGUCCUGCAUUUUCGUUGUUAGUUUGAUUUCUUAAUUUUGGGUAUGUGUUAUUUUAUUUCUGUCAGUCUCUGUGCGCAAUGGCGGUCUGAAAUUUGUUCACAUUGUGAGGGAUGAGGAUCCCUUGUUUGAUGAGUGUGUAAGUAUUCAUUGUUCCUGUUGUUCUCCUUAUGGAAAUGAGUCCUGUUUUUUAAAUUUAAGAAAGCAGUGUCCUAUUUCUUUUCGUAAAUUACACAUGAUUUAAUAGUUGUUAUUUUAGUACUCGAAAUGUUUCAUGAAUUGUAGGAGCCUCCUUAUUCUUUUAAGAAAGCACUCCCCAUGCUCCCUGGAUAUCAAAGUUUCAUCUUCAGUAAUGGGAAGAAGAUAGUUGGUGGAUAUAAUCAUGGAAGAGAAAAAUUUCACAGCCUAAGGAAGUUUUGCGCCAUUGUAGGCCUUGAGAAUUUCAGGGAAUUUAACGUGGUUUUGUUCAGUUAUGAGGAGAAUGGUGUGAGCACUGUAUCUGUCUUUGAUGACCUCUUUGUGGAGUUUAUUUUUCCUGGAACACCAGUGUCAAUGGGUAUAACUUUAUUAAUUUUUUGUUGUUGUCAGUUUGUAUAAUUUAUGAAUUUUGACAUUACAUAAACCGUGUUGUAUUUGUGACGUAGGGCUGAACUCAGAGAAUAUUAAUGUACAUCAUCGUAUUGAGAUCAAUGUGCAAGCUUGUCACAUGUACAAAUACAGUUACGGAGUGAUACUUACCGAACUCUUUGGUUUGUAUUUUUCUAUUUCCUACUGUCUUUGCAAAAUAGAAUUAUGCAAUAUGACAUGAGUUGCAUUGUGUUUUCAUAUAGGAUGUAUCGACUCAAUAUGCUGCUGUUACAAAUGUUUGGAGCAAGAAAGAUUACAUAAGUGUUUAUUCAGGGGAUAGGGCGUGGAAGCUGCAGGUUAGGACACGGCCUGGCAACUUAAAGCGUACGACGAUUAUGGAUGGGUGGAUCCAGUUUAGAGAUGACAUGGGUUUGCAAGCCGGUGAUGUUAUUGUCCUAGAGUGUACUCUAGCUUCUUUCCAUCAUUUCUCUGUUGGUGUGUUGAAGAAUGAGGUUGCCUAGCUGAAUAUCAUGUAUUAACUACUUUCAUCCUUUAAAACCUGUGUUUAAACUAAUUGGUUAUGUUUAAUGUAGACUAUCAAAUAUGGAUUCUGUCUAACUUCUGAUUGCUUGAGACAGAGUUAUAUAUUUUUAAAAUUUAUAGGCUACCAUAUGGAAAUAUAAUAUAUCUGCCUGUUACAUAGAUUACUGGAAUACUGAUAAUAGAUUAGAGGUACAAUCGACUGAGAUGACAAAAUGAACAUGUUUCACAUUUUAAAGUACUUGGGGAACAUAUAGAUAGGAAGGGUAACAUAGAACCAUCGUGUCGUUGAAUGCAGGUCCCUUAAAGUUGUGAGAUGUUGUCGAGAUGAAUGCUUGUUCCAGAACUCUGUUAAGGCAGAAGUGAAAAUUAGUGGUUAGUUUAUUGUAACUGUUAGAGUUUUUAGACAUUGGAGUUUUACCUGUGCUUGUGAAAUUUCUGUUGCUUGCUGGACUGUGAAUUUCCUUUCCUUCAUUUUAGGAACCAUGUACGAUCCUUGGUAUAUGUCAUUGCCAAUAUACAUCUCCUCCUUUUCUUUAAUAUUAAAUUCCCUUAUUUCAAGCUUGAUAGUGUAGAUUCCCUUUUCCAUUGUCUUGAAAGUAGCUGGAAACUUACCCUUCUCCUGUGUAGGAACAAAAUAAAUGUUGGUAAUAUGUUUUGUUUGAAUGAUGUUUGAAGGUUUAAACUGAUAUGUACCUCCUCCUCCAUUUCAAGAACAGUCUUGCCAAAUAGUUUUCGAAUAGGUCGAUCCAUCAAUAAAAUAUUGAUCUCCCCGGUUUCAUCCUUGGCAACGAUGAUGAUAGCAAACCUAACAGAUUUAGUGUUAGUAACUAAUACUUAUGUGUCUAAAAGUCAUAGUAAUACCUACUUCUUAUCUGGGUAUGGUACAAUCCUGUUGUUGCAUUUGCUGCAUCUGUAAGUACUCUCAACUUGAUCGAUUUGCUUGUAGCAUGUGGUACAUUGUGAAUAGUACCAAGGGUUUGAUUCUUGAACUGCGGUUAUCUGAACUUGACAGAUUACCUCUUCCUGUGGGAGAAAGUGCACAUUAUUUAGUAUUUGAUAUGAGUGCACAUUAUUAGAUGUGUAUAUUAACACUAUCUGCACCUCAAUAUAAUCUUCGCCUAAUGUCUUGAUUUGUUGUAUAGUUUUCAGCUCCGGUUCUUUUUUGGUUUGUACUAUGCUUCUGUGCUCUAUCUUGAACUCUGGUUGAGUACUCCUGCAAAAGAUAAGAGGUUAUUUAAAUUUUGUAUGAAUGACUACAUGAAAUCUAUAAUCAGAGAAUUGUAGUGACUAUGCCUUACAUUUUGCGUAACUGUGCAACAAUGUGGUGGUUGUAGUUGAUGUAGUAAGCCGUUGGUGAGAAGUUGCACAUAUCAUAUUCAUCUUUUAUAUAGCAUAAAACCAAAAGAAAAGCAGGAUGAACACAGGGGUGUUAGUGAAACAUGUUUAUUUUAAAGACAGUGGGCAUACCCUGGAAAAUACCAACUUUCCCCGCAGCGAUAAUAACAAUCAAAGGUUCUUCAUAUUUGGAGGAAGAUAUGUCAGACUGAAAGCACUCGGCCAAAUUGUUCCAGAGGGUGAUAUUUAAGUAAUUUCUGCAACAUAACACAUAUGUAAUUUUUUUUACAUGUAAUGUAAAACAUCUUGUUUUCAGAAGUUACCUCCCAUCAGCUAUCGUCAUUCUUAUCUGGUAUUUAUCGACUCCUUGUUUAGUGUGAACCAACUUUAGAUCCUCUCUUCUAGUGACAACUCCCACAACAUCUGGAUAUAUUAACAUGUAAUUAGUUCUGCAAUAACUAAUAGCAUAAGUGGUGUGUAUGUUUAAAUACCAGCCAAAUAUUUAGUCUGGUUUGCGAAGCUCUUAAUGUCACCCAGAUCGCAGAACUCAAAACAAUUUUUUGCUAUGAAAUAAUCAUUGUCGCCAAGCUCUUUUGCUCUUGUUUGGUUUGUAAACUGGAUUUGUCUAUCAGUCGUAACACAUCUCCAUUUGUCCGUCUCGGUGUAGUUCUUCACCUGAAAAUUUGAGAUUGCAUACAUCUUGCCGAGAAUAAACACUUUCUGCAGCUUCUCCAUAAGAAAAAGUGGUACAAAAGCUUCCAUCCUAACAUUCUAAGUGUGAAAAGAUAAAAACUUAGUAGUGUCAAGUGUUUGAAACAUAAAUAUAAAAAUUUCUUGUGGUUGAAGUGUACCUUUGCAUCGACUAGCAGCAAAUUGUAACCUUUAUAAGGUUGCCCAGUUAUAGUUACUCCCCUCCACUCUCGAAUAAUUCGGACCUUCACCUUCCAGUCCGUUCUUCCUGAAUGAACAUUAUUUAGAUAUUCGUAGUUGUUUGACAUUGCUUCCUGAAUAAUUCGAAGCUUUAGUCGAAGCUUAGUUUUGUGAGAUGAUAUUGCUUAGUGUUUCUACAGUACUUCGUUUACUUAGGUCUGAUUUGUAUUAAUAGGCAGUGAAGCUUUAUUUUGAUAUGAUAGGGAACCAUAUCAUUUAAUGGUUGCUAUUAACUUCUGAAGCUGUUCGUACGAAUUUAGUUGGACAGAUUGAAUUUAAAAGCUUCCCAUGCUGCAAAUACCAACUGGUUCACUGGUACUAACAUUGUGUACUCUUCAAAAAUAGUUUAGAAUACAAACGAUUGUCAACAUAGCUGUAACAAAAGAGUACAUUAGAAUGAAAACCAAAAUAACGCAUGCUGCAGCAACCAUAAAUAAGGACCAUCUACCAGGUGCACAUGUCAAGCCUGCAAAUAAAACAAAAAAUCAGUAUAUUGUUAUUUGUAUCAUAAUGGCGAUUUACAUGACAUUUAUAUGAAGAACUUACAAUUUUGGUCUUGACAUUCUUCAGCUUUGGUUCAGGACUUUUCUCUGGUAAAUCACAUGGAACAACAUCAAUUUUUUUCCUUGCUCUACUUUUGUUCGUUGACUCUCCAGUGGCAGGACUCGUAUUGUUCAAUGUAGUCCUCGACUGAAAAUAAUUUCCAAUGUGAGCAUGUGUUAUCUGGAAUAAUCAAUUUGCAUGGUUAACUUACAUUUGAAAUUUCAGUUUGUUUUAUCAGGACAGAGUUUGUUUCUGGUGGAUCAUCAUUGGCUGAUAUCUCCUCAUCCGCAGAUACUUUUACAGCUGUGUACACAUUUGAACCUCCCACCACAUUCUCCUUUGUGACAUGAAGGGUGAAAUUAUAAGUUCUCUUCUCAAACUGGAGCAGUAUGGGUGGGAAUUUAUCACCGUCACCAACCUGGUUUUUAAAAUGAGCAGAGUGCUUUAUCAAGAUUCACCACUAUGGUCAAUUAUAUACAUAUAAAACAUAGCGUGAAUUUUACCUGUGUUUCAUCAGCAAGAAUAUCGUAAACCGUUUUGCCAAUGAAACGAGUCAGCUCGUCAUCAGUGAAGAGGAUGGGGACGGUACCAGUGUGGUCAGCGCAUAACAUACAAAACUCAUACCUGCAUAUCAUACAUUCAGUAUUAAAUAAAUGUGGUAACAUUUAGAGGUAUGUCCUGUUGUAUUUAUGUUCAUACUUGCGGUCAGGAUAAGGCUUAAAUUUACCACACUUCAUACAUUUGAAUCGUUUCUCCACCAGCUGCAGGUCUUGAUCACACGGUACACAAUAAUUACUAUACCAACCCAUACUCUUAUCAAUUUUCUUCACAUGUAGUUUGGCAAUGACUCUUUUCUGUUCGCAGAAAGGUAAACAUAUUAGUAGUAAUGAAAUUGUAUUAAUCUGGUAAACUAUUGAUCUAUAAAUUGACCUCUAUGUAUUCGUCCUUCAGACUAAGGAGCUCUUUGACAUUAAAUUUCGGAACCUCGUCCUCAGCUUCUUCUAUGAAAUCAAUUUGAUAGAAAGUUGAUUCCGCAAGACUGCAACAUGAUCAUUCAAAUUACACAAAGCCUUAUGAAUUCAUAACAACUGAUAAUAUAAAAUUUCUAACCUUGUACGGAUUCUUUUCACACAAUGGUGAUUGUUGUUGAGGUAGAAUCGUGUUGCGGGGUAAUUAGCUAAACUAACCUCAUCUACAAACAGGAAUAAUAUUGUUACUGGAAAAGUAAAAAAUGUAUAAACACAAUGGUGAAAACGUUAGUCUCUAAAGUAACUACCAUUCCAUUCGCUAAUCUUUCCACUUGCUAUUAUGAUUAUGACAGGCUCCUCUUUUUUCUGUUCAAAUGCUUCGAGAAGAGUAUCCCCAAAAGCAUUAAAGAAAGUAACAUUAAGAUAAGACUUUCCAUCUGUGACAGUGAACUUGACAAUCGACCCAUUGAUGCCAUCUUUUGUGUACUCAAUCUUUGUGGGCUUUGCAUCAACAACACCUACCACAUCUACCAAAUAAAUAAAAGAAGAUUACUUUUUUUUUCCAUAAUUAAUUUAAGUGGAUAUGUGACACUUUGCAUACUAAUGUAACUGUCCAAAAACUCACCAAUAAGGAAGCGAUUGUCCUUUUUCAAAGCGUAAACAUCAUCCAAACAAUACAGAUCAAAACUGAGCGGCUGAAUUUUCAAACAGGUGUCUACAACUUUAGAGCAAAGAGUAUCGGUGUUGAAGUAAAUAUGUUUCCCACUCCUAACUGCUCUAUAGGUUUCAUCCCCUUUGUAGAACUUCACAGAGAAAUUAGAUAUUUCAUAAAGUGCUCCUUCCUCCAAGUCUUUCUUAAAUUUAUCAGUUAGGGUAGCAGCGAUGAAAGCAUGGAUCCUAUGAUUCUACAUAACAGUAAAAUUUUAACAAUUAUUUUGGCAUUUAAAAAGUACUGACGCAGUUUUUAAUGUCUAAAAUAGGUUUAAGCUAACUUACUUCAUCAUCGAUAAAUACAACAUUGAGACCUCUGAAUUCUUUGGUUUGCUUAUUAAUUCCUUGCCAUAUAGCUUGAGCGCGUACAGAAAUGGUCCAGUCAUAUCGUGAAUCGUUCAGGGCAGACAAACUGGAGUGCUCUAUGAAAGACAUGUCUAUCAGUGUGCAGCGUGAAUUAAAUCCUGAAAGAUUGACAUCAAAAUCGUGUUCAGUUUAUGAAGAGGUUAUGUAGAUCUGUUAUAUAUGAAGCAAUAAAGACAGUCGUACCUUGUAUGGGAAGCUUGAAGAUUUGGUGGUUGAAGCUGGAAUGGAGAGUAUUAAAGCUCCUGUCAGAUCUAUGCUAUGAAGACCACACAAACUGUUGAUAAGGGGACAUCUUAUCUGCUAGCCACUUUUGGCAUUAUUUUUUAAAAGAAAGGCUAGUUUCAAUGUCUAAACACUACUUUGGAAGCUAACACUGCUUUUGACAAAACUGUGCUCUUCUUUUCUUCAUUUAUAUUUAUAUAGUAUAUGAUAACACAGCCACAUUAAUUGUAUUUAUUAAUUAUUGGACUUAAAAAUAAGGGCGCCAAAAAAAACACAAAUGUUCAAAUUUUGGUGUACAAAAGCCUGUAUUAUCUUAGAGUAUUUUAAGUUCCUAUUUUAGAUUUAUUACACACCUCUCAAAUAGUGAUCAUGACUUGAAUAGAAGUGAAUUUUAAGUCCACACGAAUCGUGUUCAUGCUCAUGUCACGGUAUUGAAUGGGCAGACCCCUUAUGGCAAAUAAUUUAACCACAAAAAAUUACAUAUGCAGACCAUGAACAAAACAUCUGUACUGGUAAUUUUAGAUGACAAAAGGGUACCAUUUAAGGUCCAUUACUUCAUUUACACUCUGAAUUCAAUAUAGGAUAAUUCAAUAUAACAGAGUCACAAAAAUUAAACAAUGCAAGACUCUGUUUUCAAGUUUCACUUGCAAAGUACCAAAAGUGUACCAUGUCCUUUUAGGUUGUGGAACAUACAAAAAACCAAAAGGAUGAAUGCAAGACAACCUAAGGACAUGGCAAAUUGUAAAAUACUUCUUUAUAGACUACAUUUGCAGUUAUAUUAGUAGUCAGACCCAUUUGAGAUUCAACAAAAAUCCGAAGGCCUUCAGGAGAUGUGACGCGGCUGAUAGCAACAUACAAUUGGCCAUGGCUGAACACUGGUUUUGGCAGAUAUAAUCCAACUUUCUCUAGGGACUGCCCUUGUGAUUUAUUGAUUGUCAUUGCAUAGCAGAUUUGCAAAGGCAUCUGUUUCCUCAUCAGCUUGUACGGCAACUUCGAAUCUGUUGGAAAAAGUUCCAUUCGAGGGAUAAAGUGUCUAGUGCCAAGAAAACUCCCGGAGAUUACUUCACAUUGAACACAUUGAGGAAGUAACUUCGUGACCAUCAUCCGUGUUCCAUUGCAUAAACCAAGCGUUUGAUUAAGAUUGCGCAUGAGCAUAACGACAACACCAACUUUCAGUUUCAGUUCAUGGCUAGGCAAACCAUGGACAUUUAAGGAGUUCAAAUAUUNGGGACAUUUAAGGAGUUCAAAAAUUCGGGAGGAAAACUAUUAUUAAGCUCAGUCUCUGUACCAGGAUAGUCUUCUGCAUUAUCAACACUAUAAUAUGAUUGUGAUUCACCGGGAAUUCUAUCCACAAUCAAAGCAUUGACAUGAGCCACUGUGUUGUUUGUGGGAGUUAGAAUUGCUCGUUCGCUCAAGUACUUGGGAUCAUUAUAGUGUUCUGCAAAAUCAGAAAAUGUGGUAUCAAUCAUAUCGGCAAUACAGUUCUCAUUACCUAUAUUGCAGAAUUCAGAUGGGAUUUCAAUAUCAUCAUCAAACUCUCCAUUCGAUGCUUUCUGAAUCUUCCCGUCUCCUAUAUCAAGAACCCACUGGGCAAACUUUUUCAUGCGCUCAACUUCACCUUCGUUGCUUCCUCUAUUAAUACGCAUGUUUUUGACCAAGGUAUGGAGACUAACAUUACUCCAAAGUUUUGAUCGACUGAUUCCAGCAGCAACAACCUCACUGCGGUUAGAUCCGGGUAUGACCGGUAGAAUUUGUCGAAAAUCACCACCAAGGACAAUGUUAAUUCCACCAAAAGGCAAGUGAAAGCGCCUAGGCUCAACAGACUUCAUGAUAUCACGCAGAGAACGAUCAAGACACUCGAACGCAAAUCGGUGUUGCAUUGGCGCUUCGUCCCAAAUGAUGAGGCUGGUACGAUGCAGCAACUGUGCAAUAUCUGACUGCUGAGCUAUGUUGCAUGUAGAACAAUCAUCCAACAUAAUAGGAAUCUUAAAUCUGGAGUGCGCUGUUCUGCCACCUGGCAGCAGAGUUGCAGCAAUACCGGACGAAGCAACAGGAAGAACUAUCAAGCUCUCGGAGCGCAACUUUGAUAUCAAGGUCUUCCAUAAAUAAGUCUUCCCACAGCCUCCACUUCCGUAAACAAAAAAAAAACCACCAUCAGUCUUCUGUAGUGAAUCCAUUAUUGCGUUGUACACCUGCAAUUGUUCUUCAUUCAUUUCAGAAAUUAGAGACUUGUGCUCCUCUGCCAUCAGAUCAAGAUUGUAAGAUGUCUCCUCAAUGAUUAGAUUAUUCAGACCACAGUCUAAAUAAUUUCUAGGCGGCUGAGGCAUGUCAUUGAAAUCGUUCAAUGACUUCCCUAUAGACUUGGGUAGCUUGUGAAUUUCUGAAAAGAGAACACAGAGUAAUAUUACUAAACUAAUUGAGGACAGUUAAAUUUUAAACAAUACAUAUAACGAAAAGAUAUAAUUUGAACAUUGGAGCACAAAGAUAUUACCUGCAAGGGCAAAGUACUCUAUUUGUUUCUCAUUCAACACCAAAUUGGGAUUCCCACUGACUUUUCUUCUAAUUAAAACAAUAUCAUCAGUCAUGUGCACAGAAUGGUCAUUCCAUAAUUUCUUCAAAUCAGUGACACGACAAUUCACCAUGAUGUGUACAAAAAGUUCACGGAUUUGGGGAGCUAAUCCACAACUUGAACAUUGCUGCAGGACUUGGUGCCAUUCAUUAUCAUCGUCAAGGAGUCCAUACUCUUUACAGGCCUCCUGAAAUGUUUGACACAGCUUGCCAUUUACAGUCCGCAAGUCUUUAAACGAAGUAGGACCUCGGACCUUAGUCAGCAGCAAACGCAGGUACCACAACUCACCAGAACUGUGAUUAGUGUAGAAUAGUCUCCCAAUUUGUACACCUCGCUUUCUCACAUUCCAAACUGUAUCAAGUUCAUUCCACACAUAAUGUCUAGGGAUCUCGUCGUAUGUUAAUUUCCUAGCUUCCGGAUCAGUAGCAUUCAGUGCAAAAAAAGCUUCCAACUGACUGCUUUUUUUUCUCUCCCUUGCAAUCACCUUUGGUAAUGGAUCACUAUCUUUGAAUGUGCAAAUUCUUUCCCCUGGUAAAUGAAAUGACAGACGCUGAACAGAGUGUGUACGAUAGUGUAUGUUAAAACCAAAUAUGCGAUAGGCUGCCUCACAUGCACAUAUAUAUCUACCAUCAAAAUAUUGGUUAAUCUCAUCUACAGGAGAGUCUUUACUGGACUCGGCAGUAUCCUUUUUUCGGCUCUUUAUCUCAACUGUAGCUCGAUCAUGACCUUUGAGACAGUACUUGAAGAUGUAUUUGAUACUACGUGUAUGACAACAUAUCUCAACAUUUAUAUGACAUUGAAAUUUCACCAGUAUGUGACAGCCCGAGAAUCCGGGGGCCUGGAUUCUGACGUCACCACAUAAGACCCAUUUUUAAACACUUUCGAAAACCUGUAAAUUUUUUUUUUUAUUUUUUUUUUUCAAAAGAUAAUAAAAUCAGAGAAUUUAAAACCCGAAAACAUUUAAUAAAAGAUUUGAAAGACGUUAAAUAAAAGAUUUAAAAGAGAACAUCUUUACCCCCAAAACAACAGGAUCGCUUCCAGGUUACAGUAUUGAAAUUAGAAUCUACCACUAUUAUUACACAACAUCUCUUACCAAAUCAGAUCAUCUUCGAUAAGAAGAAUCACUGUCAACUAUUCCAGCUAUGACUUACACUUGAAUCUCUAUAGCACAGCUCUAGCUUGCACCAACCUCAUCAACUUUCCUGAACACUCCUCGACCACUGGAUCCUCAACUCUGUCUCCUCGCCUAGCAUUAGCCUUACUCACAAUCUCAAUCAAUCAUCUCAUCUUUAAGCCUUUCUGAAAUGGUUAGAAAGGAAUAGCAAGGGUGAGCAACAAUGCUCAGCAAGUAAUAAUAAACAAUGAUAGUUCUGAAAUGAUAUAAUAGAAGUUCACGAGUUCAAGAUAUAAAAGGAUUCAACCUGAGUUCACGAGUUUAGGUAUUGUAUAAGAAAAUCACAAUACCUUGCAGCAAUUGAAUACUGAGGAAUUCAAUCUUUCCAAAAGAAUUAUUGAAUUGGACUAUCACAUUUUAAUUAAAACCAAGGUUAGGCAGCUGAUCAGUUCCGCACUAACCCCGAGCAGGCCCCGCCAUGCUCUAUCACUGGAUCCAAGGCACUCAUUGGCCUAACAUGACCACGAAUCUGGUCCACAGGUUUAUAUAAAAACAAUAAUCCAAUUCUCUAAUUCAAUUCAAGAAGCCAAUGUAAAUUAACAGAACAUCAUCAUAAAUAUCAUCAACAACAGAAUAAUUCCAAUUCAAACUUUGAUAAUAAUCUAUUCAUAAA
rnacentral:lncRNA from 1 species